UUUUUUUUUCUGAUGUGAAGUUAAGGCGCUGGAGAUGUGGUUCAUUCCAGUAGUCCAGUAGAUUAAUCCUACCCUGUUAUUUUUCUUGGUUUCUGCUGGCAUAUUACAAUAGUUUUAUAGUAUCUACCAAAUGGCUCUCACUGCUGAGGUUUCUCGCCCGGCCGAAAUGGUUUUACCACCUCAACACAUAUAGAAAACACCUCGAAAAUUUCGAGACCUAGUUGAACAAUUUCCGAGAGCUAUCCUUAUCCAACAAUUUUUGAAAAUAUAGCAAGAAUCACUGUAAUGCGAGUGUUGUACACAUAUGUGAACGUCUGAAUCUAUUUGUGUCCUUCACAAAUUCUAAAGCAUAAUCCAACAAGGACGUACGCGAACCAGAAAGGAACAGAAAAGUAAUGAAAACAUUGAGAAUGUACCUUGUUGGCUGAGGGUUUAGUGAGGAAUGUUGCUAGCUUGGAGCAUCUAUUUAUGGACGGAACAAGCGAAGCUAGCUGCCUUGUCAAAUGGCUAGGCUUACUUGGCUCGUCAAGUACUGAUGCCCCACAUGUUGACACGUCAUGUCAGCAUUGACGAGCUGCGUAAUUUAAUAAAUGGAAAAAGCAUAACUAGUUUUAUAGGAGUUUUGUGUAAACUAAAUAUAGGGACACAUCAGGUAAUCUGAUGACGUGGUAGAAAAUUUAAGAGGAGGGACAAGGAGCCUCUUGACACAGAAAUCAUGUCUUGAAAUUAAAUGUUAAACUAUGAAACAGCAACACGAUGGUAUGCAUUGGAGGGGUAGAUUAAAACACAGUUUCAUUUUUCUCUUGGUGAUCGACGUAGCUAUCUUGGAAAUAUCAAAACGAAAUCCUCCACUGGAUUAGCUUAAUAAACAAAACUCCUGGAAUUGCCUGAACUGUACAGGGCAAGUCUCCCUGUCUCUUGGCCGUUUCGUCAGUCCGUUUUGAUGCAAUACAUGGUACUCGCUCAUGCCCUGCCGACGAGGUCAGUCAGAGGAAAGAGUAAUCCAAGUCUCCGCUGAAAGGCUAGCAAUGUCUCUUGUACCCAUGCUCGUUUGUCACGAUUCUAUAGCAGCCUGCCGGUGUCGCCAUUAGAAAGCAGAGUCCUUGUAAUGAAGCGACGACUUGUGUUGAACUUGGCCCGCCGAUUUGCUGGCAAAGGACUUGGUGCGAAGCACCUAACAAACAAUCGACCGCUGAACGGUCAAAGAAAAGAGAAAAUAUCAGCAAACAAACAAUUCAAAGAAAAAGCACGGCGCAGACGAAAGACAGUCACCGAUCGCCGAUUAGCACCACCACCGAGCAACAUACUCCCCGGUAACACAAUUGCCAUGGCAUCCUGCACCACCCAUCAUGGCUACGCCGCCCCGCUGCUGCCCUCACAACGGAGUGGGGACUAAGGGUGGUGAAGAAUGCACAAGCCAAAGCGCACCGGAAACAAUGACCUUCCUUGAAGCUGAUGGUGACACUGACAGCACAUCCGAGCUCCACAUUCCACCAUCCAACAAUGUCCAAGGGGAGGAAUCCUUGGAGGGGAAUGGCGGAAGGAGUGGAAACACUACCCAGCAAAUUGAUUUGCUGGCACCACCAACAAGAAGAACGCCGACGAAGUAGAGGUGCUGGAGGAGAAUACUCACCAAACCACGAUAGCAGCCAACAUCCAAUGCUAGCCUUAUCCAUGAAGAGUAGGAGGGAGAAGCCAUAGAGCAGGCAUGGGUGCACUGCUAGCAAAUAGGGACCUCAGUAGACGACGCCACAUGUAGGGCGGGACAUUAGAGAUGUCGUUGCUGCCGGUCUGGUAGCACGGGAGCAAGGUUUUCACCUUGGAGGCCCCCAAGGUAUAGAAAGGGGAGGAGCACGACGAUGCCUUCAGGAAGGUAAAUGGCACCAAGCAGCAUCAUCAUUGUUAGCCGGGCGAGCCGAGCAUGGCUUUCACCAAGGGCUCCCUCACCAAUCCCACACAUAGCGCCGGUGCUGAUGAACCCGUGGCUUCGUGUUGUGCCGGGGGGCUGUGGCCCAGCACCCGUGCCUACCUUGGAGCACACUGGCGCCACCAGCAAAAGGAGGGCACAGAGGGCAUGACCGUGACAUUCAGCAAGAAAUCCCUGUUCAAGUAUGUAAAUUGUCUUCACCUUGUUGGAAUAUUUAAUUCUUGUUAUGACCAAUUUCAUCCACAUGCUACCAAUCCAUCGAUGUCAAAUCUCUUCUCAUUUAGUAUAUAAGAAUUUGCAGACAAGGAAGAUACAGGCUCGAGUCAUCCGGUGCAGAACCAUCCAAGUAUAAAGGAUCAGCUAUUAGCCCUCCUGCAGCUGCUGCGUCAAGGCACAUCUUUACUCCUAGAAAACGUUGAGCCGAUUCAAAGGUUAUUCAGACAAAUCAGAACUCAUCUGACUAAUGAAUUAAUGGCAUCAUUAACUCCUACAGGCUUAAUUGAAUCCCACUAUUCCGAAGUCCAGAGAGCCAAAAAAAGCAUCGUCGAUAGAUGUCAGGCCAAUGCUCAAUUGGACACUGUCAAGUUGAAGGCUAAAGAGGUGAAACAAGAAAUUAAGAGCUUUGACGCCUCUCUCUCCUCAGAUGCACAUAUCCUACAGACCUUGGAGACCGAAAGAGACUAGCUGAUGCUUGAAUUAGAUCGAGUAAACAAAGCAAUUGCAAAAGCUCAAGGCUGGCUCAAUGAUUACCCCAUCGCUAUCCAGGAGAAGAAGAAAGAAUUGGCUGCCUCCAUCAACCAAGUGCGUCAUCAGCAUCGGCAAAUUAAUGAUAUCCCUGGCUCUGAUGAACAAGACAUGCAGUUGAUAGCCGAUGUUGACCAGAUCUGCCUGCGCGUGGUAGAGGCCAUUGAAAAGUUCUUGUAAAGAAUAAUGAAAUCUGCUUUAAUCUUCAUCCUUAACUUGUGCAUAAUUAUUUCACCCUUUGAAAGCAACCCUUCAAUGCCAUCUUUACUUUUCUUGAUCUAACACAAUGAAUCAUCUUUACCUCUCUAGGCCAGGCCAAACCAAACGUCAGAAGAAUACUAUUUCACCUGGCCAAAACUGAAAGAUUCCUGCCAUUAUAUCACGAGCCCACCGUACUGCCUUGGCUACACUCCGACAAUCUUGAUAUAAAUAGACCACCUGUGUUGGCACUUUUCACCAUCAAAAAACAAUGGCUCAAAGAAUAGGACCCGUAGGCUGGAAACUCAUAGUAUUUGAAGCUCAUAGAAGACCCAUGACCACUAGAUGCUAGAAGAAUUCUUGUGAACUAGACUAGGAUGCUCCUUCCCUUCGCAAUCUCUUUUGUGAAGCUAGGAGGUCACGAUGCAUGAAGAAUCCUCAUGACGUACGUCCAUUACCAUCUUGAGUGAGCUUCUCGAACAUGCCAGAAUAGAAGGACUCCACCCCUCAUCAAACUUGCACUUCCUCUUGUAUUUUCUUUGCAUUUUUUGUUCUAAAGGUGAUAUCCCAAGAUAUCGGCUAUCUAAAGACGAUAAAUAUAAUCAUCAGCUUUUGUAAAAAAGUUCGCACGACAAAGCUUAUUGAUAUACUUUUAUUGGCAAUACUCUUUACUAUAGUGAGAACAUAUUUUUUAUAUUUUUUGUGCUAAAGGUGAUAUCAACAGAUAUCGGCUAUCUAAUACGAUAAGUUGCUCAUCAACUUUUACAUAUUGUCGGCUUUGACUCAUUACCCAUGAAUAUUACAAUUUAACAAGUCAGCCUACAGACAUGUUUUUAUUUACUCUUCCUCGCCAUCUGCUUGACCUGUUUGGAACAAGAAACUUGCAGCAUCCAUGAAUUCAUCCGCUUUCCCAAACUUUUCCAGACAAGUAGCGCACCUUGUCACACUUCCAGAAAGGAACAUCAGCUACAGCGAUGGUAGCAGUUUCAUCUGCCGGCAUGAUUUCCACCAUAUCUCCAUCCCAUUGAAUUAACAAUUGAUGCAUUGUGGACGGAAUACAACAAUUUGCAUGCAUUCAGUCUCGACCCAAGAGAAGAUUGUAUGAACAUUUACCAUCGACGAUGAAAAAGGUAGUAAGCAAAGUUUUGCUACCAAUCAUCAAUUCGACGUUCAAGACCCUUUCAACUUUUGACCACUUCCCCUCAAAGUCUUUCUGGACCCUGUUAGUCUUCAUCAAAUCUUUUGGAGUCUUUCCAAGCUUGCAGUAAGUAGCGCAUGACAUAAUGUUGACAGCAGAACCACCAUCAACCAACAUCUUGGACAAUGGCCGACCAUCAACAUGUCCCUUCAUGUAUAAAGGUUUCAAGUGUCGAUGCUUUUCCACCUCUGGUUUCUCAAAUAAAGCUUGCUGAGCUAGUAGGACCAAUUGAGCAACCUCCUCUUCAUCGCUAUGACAUAUCCCAAACUCAGCAGGCAAAAUAAAAACCAUAUCAAUUUCAGUCGAUGCCUCUUUGCCUUUGUCUGAUUGCUUGAUGCGCCACUCCAAGUGUUGUUCCUUAUAUCGCAAGCGUUGAACCCUUCUUAUCUGAGUCUUGGUCAAUCCUUCUAGGCACCAACGCUAUCCAGGAAUUAGCUUCUCUUGACGUCUGAUACGUUUCUCCUUGGAUUCAUCAAUGAAAAUAGACUUACACCUUGGAGGAUAGUUCAAUCUUUCAUGCACAGAUCAGACUUCUUCGUGCUCAUUAGAAUCCUCGACUACCUGACGAUGUCCUGCUGAUUGAUAUUCCAACCGCUCAUGCACCGAUCAGCACUGUCUCUUGGAUUCACGAUAACCUUGGUAUUGCGAACUACACUCAACGUAAUCAACAGCCGAUGGCAACCUCAGCUUCUCAUUCCAACAGUACUGGAAGAAAGGAUAGUUCUAAUGUGACUCAAACUUGCUUCUGUUGUCUUCCUCCCAGUCUUCAUGAGCUUCCCGUCUACGCUGGUAUUUGUUGAUCAGCAUCUUAGAAGUCACAUUUAGUUUUCUAGCAGAUCAGCUGGCUUCAGCUUCCUCAACUUGUUGAGCCUAGCUCACUUUCUUCUUGAAUUCCUCAGCCAAUACUUGCACCCUUGGAUCCACUAUGCCAGAUUCCUUUGCCCUCCUCGAUGUGAGCAGGAUUGACUGGAGUCUUUAUUCAUCUUUCUUAUCAAUUAGCACAACCUCCACCAUGUUAACAGCUCGGAACGGAUGCUUGUCAACCUUCAUCAGCUUCUUUGAGUCAUCAACUUUAAGCCUUCCUUGCUCUAUAGCCAUUUGAAUCUGUUGACGGAAAGUCUUGUAGUCAUUAGUAUGAUGCGUAAUAGAGUUGUGCAACUUGCAAUACUUCCUCUUUUUGAGCUCCACAGCCGAUGGUAUCUUGUGACCCGGAGGUAACUUGAUCUGACCUUCUUGUAAAAGUAGGUCAAAGAUCUUAUCAGCUUUGGUGAUGUUGAAGUCAUAUGUUUCUGUAUUAGUUUUGAUCCAUGGGAAUGAGAUCGGCAUCUUUCUCUUAACCCACUCUACGACACUGACUUCUCCAUCUGCAUUUCAAUCUUCAUCAGAUGAAUCAUAUGCAUUAAAAUUGGAGAGCCCAUACUUAUUCCUGCGUGAACUCUGGAAUCGGCUCUCAUGAACCGAAACCUUAUGCACCAGAUGUGCUAGAUUGUCAAAGUCAUGUGGAGCAAACUUUUCCUUAGUAGAGUCUAGCAGCCCUUGAUAAGCCAAUUCCACUAGCUAUCCAUCAGUUAGGUACAUGUUAUAGCAUUUGUUGCGCACUUCUCUAAACCUUUGGACAAAUGCAGCCAUUGGCUAUCCGUUUCUUUGCUUCAUGAUUGUGAGAUCUAUCAUCUUCAUCUCUUGGGCUUCUACAAAGUAAUUCUUGUGGAACAAUAUUUCCAAAUCUUCCCAACUGUUGAUGGAAUUAGGGCCAAUGUAGAAAACCAUGUGAAGACAGGUCCUGUUAGUGACAACGGAAACAUGCGCACCUUGAGUGCAUCUAUUGAAGCUGCUUCUCCAUACUAAACUAAGAAUCGGCUAGCGUGCCCCCUGGUAGACAUGUUAUCUUCUCCAGAGAAUUUAGCAAAGUCAGGGAUACGAUACCGAUGCGACAUCGCCACUUGAUCAAACCAACCAGGAUAUGGGUGCUGGUACAUGUAGGCCUGCUGCCUUGGUUUCAAGCCAAACUGAUUCUUUAACAGCUCAGCAAUCUUUGCGGCCCAACCUUCACUGCUUUUUCCCAUUCCCAUCUUGUGAGUGUGGAGAAACCAGCACAAAUCCAUCCGCAACUUGAGUUGAUCGAGUAUCAGACACCCCAUUUCCUCCACAUGUGAAAUCCGGUUGCCCUGAUGGCUGCGGGUUAGCAGUCCUUAUAGGAAUUAACCCUAAUGCUUGCCUAGGCUGGCCAUCAACUAGGCCGACCAUCAGCUGUCCCGUUGGCUAUCUGGAAGAUGAGUCACCUCCGAACUAGAUGUGUUAAUGCAAAUCUUUUCCAGGACUGCUUGCUGACAUAAUGAUCUGGAACUUGUAUGAUCAUCCUCUGAAUCUCAUGAGCCAAUACUCCAGUUGGACUGAUCAAAGCACACAUAGCUUUACGAGGGCCAAUCGUAUAUUCUCUGGUAGAAUACCCCUCUGUGCAACUGGAAGCAACUGGGUCAUCAACAUGUGGUAGUCAUGGGCCUUUAGAUUUGUGAACUUCUUUUCUUCCAUAUUUAUUAUUCCCUUUAUAUUCGAGGAGUACCCAAACAAAACCUUGAUACUACUCAUGCAGUCAAACAUGCAAUCCUUCCCUUCCUUGCUGAGAGUGUAACUGGUAGGACGUAAUAGUGUUGUCCUUUAUCUUUCUUUUUUGGAUGUAGGUCAUCUACUUGCUUCUUACAUUUUAGGUCCUAUCGUGCUUCCAACAUAUCUUUUUGAGUUCCCAUAACAACCCAGGAAGCCUAGCACAUUCAUGCAAAGAUUCUUCAUCAGGUGCAUCAUGUCUAUUGCGUUGCGAACCUCUAGAAUUUCCGAAUAAGGUAGCUCCCAAAAUAUAUACUUCUUCUUCCACAUGGGUGCACGUCCGUUAUCGUUGUUCGGAAUAGGUUCGCUACGGAGACCCUUUCCAAAGACUACACUUACAUCCUUUAUCAUCUCAAAUACACGCUUUCCAUUAUGGUGUGUAGGUUUUAUAUGAUGAUAUGGCGCCCUUUUGAAAUGCAUCCCUUUCUUUCUUAACGGGUGGUUAGCAGACCCAUGUACAUGACCUUCCUACAAUGUUUCAAAUACAUGUUGUCUGUGGCAUCUAAACAGUGGAUGCAUGCCUGAUAUCUCUUAUUUGUCUAUCCUGAAAGGUUACUCACUGCAGGCCAAUCAUUGAUGGUUAUGAACAACAAUGCUCGUAGGUCAAAGCUCUCUUGUUUAUCCUCAUCCCACACACAUACACCUUCUUCCUUCUAGAACAGUAAAAGUUCAUCAACCAACGGUCUUAGGUACAUGACAUUGUCGUUGCCGGAUUGUUUUGGGCCUUGGAUAAGCACCGGCAUCAUAAUGAACUUCCACUUCAUGCAAAGCCAAGGAGGAAGGUUGAACAUACAUAGGGUCACAGGCCAAGUACUAUGACCACUACUCAACUCACCGAAUGGAUUGAAUCCAUCAGUACUUAAACCAAACCUUAUCUUCCUUGCAUCACUUUCAAUGUCCGGGAAUGCUCUAUCAUUUGAUCUCCACUGGGUCCCGUUAGCGGGGUGUCUUAGCAUGUCAUCUUGCUUACGUUUUUCUUUAUGCCAUCGCAUCAACUUAGCAUUCGCCUUGUUUCUGAACAAACGCUUCAAACGUGGUAUUAUAGGAAAAUACCAUAUCACCUUCGCUGGAACUCUCUUCUUGGGAGGCUGCCCCUCAACAUCACCAGGAUUAUUUCUCUUGAUCUUAUACCGCAGCGCUCCACACACAUGACAAACAUCCAAUUUCUCUUAUUCAUCACCACGAUAGAGGAUACAGUUAUUAGGGCAUGUGUGUAUCUUCUAAACCUCCAAUCCCAGAGGGCAAACAACCUAUUUAGCUUCAUAUGUUAAGGACAACAAUUCAUUAUUCUUGGGAAGUAUGUUCUUUACAAUUUUCAGUAUCCCCUGAAAUGCCUUAUCGAACAUACCAUGUUUUGCAUUCCAUUACAGUAUUUCCAGUGUGACACCUAGCUUCUUAUGCCCCUGCUUGCAACUUGGGUACAACAAUUUUUUAUGAUCAUCUAUCAUACGUUGCAACUUUUCUAAUUCCUUCUCAGUUUUGCAGUCUUUCAGUACAUCCCGUAGCACCUGACCAAGAUCAUCAAUAGGGCCGUCUUCUGCAAGCUCUUCUUCAUCAGCCUCGCCAUUGUAGUAUUUGCAAAAGAUUGGCUUGCAGCCUAGUCCAAAAUGUUGUCAUCAUCCUCCUCUUCUUCGGUGUCUUCCAUUGUAACCCCUCUUUCGUCAUGCUUGGUCCAAAUCAAAUAGUUAGGCAUGAAAUUGUAUCUAAAUAAGUGGCUGUGAAGAGUCUCCCAAGAAGAAUAGUCCUUCUUGUUACUGCAUUUGAAGCAUGCACAACAUAUGAAUCCAUUCUUCAGCUUGUUGGCUUUAACCACUUCGAGAAAAUAAUGUAAGCCAUCAACGAACUCCUUGGUCUGUCUAUCCGUGUUGUACAUCCAUUGCUGGUCCAUCUGCAUCGUAUUACGUGAGAAAUGGACAUAGGUCUUCGUAUUAGAUAAAUAACUUGAUCAAUAUUGAUAAUUUACACCAAUCAACCUUCAUAAAGAUAAAAACAAUUCACAUGAAAAUUACACCAAUCAACGUUCAUAUCAUUCACUAGGUCGACAAAAAGAAAAUUGCUAGAAUUCUGGAACAAUACAAUAAAGAUAUAUAUACACUAAAUAUUACAUAUGCUCCAUUGUGGACUUCACGUAGUCAAUAAUCCUAAAAUAAUGGUACAACAUAGUAGAAUGUUUGCCCUCCAAGUCAUCUCUGCACAUGACUCAAUCUUCUCCGAAGUCUAUGGAGAGUCACAUCCGCUCCAGUACCAGAAAAUAAUGGUAGAAUAGAAGAUCUUCAAGUCCACAUACUCUGGCUAAAUAUCAUAAAAGAAUCUUGAAAUAAUUGCCCAAACGUCUUUUGGAGCAAGUGCCACAUUUUCAUAAUAGAAGUAUGGUGGCACCAUAGUCUGUCCUGUUCAUUGAACAUGGUCCAUUUUGGCAAGCCAAAACCAACCAAAAACUGAUGGUUCAAUGUCAGUGAACAAAUCUCUGCCUGAAGAGACUAUUGGGGCCCCAUACUUCUAUUAUAAAAAUGUGGCUCCAAAAGACGUUUGGAAAGAUUCUUUUAUCAUAUUCAGCUAAUGUUUCUGGACUCGAAGUUCUUUUGUUCUACCAUUAUUUUAGGAUUCUUGACUCCAUGAAGUCCACUAUGGAGAGUAUGUAGUCUUUAGUGUAUCUUUGUUGUUCUGUUCCACGGUUCUACCAAUAAGUUGACCGGUGUAAUUUUCAUGCAUGCAAACUAUCCAAAAAAUUGUAGCAAUGACCAAAUUCUAUUUCUUGCACCUACAAUUUAUUUACCUCUAUUAUAUUGCAAUGACUAAAUAUUAAAAACACAUUUACUCUAUUUUUUCCCAUACCUAAUAUUGAUCAAGAUAUUUAUCUAAUACGAAUCAUAUAUAACAAGCAAGCUAUCAGUCAAAUUCUACCUAAAAAACAUCUAUAAAUAAAAAAUCCUCUCCAUUCUCCCUCGUUCUAAAAAACUCAUUUUUCUCUAUCUCUAAAGCAUAAAACAAAGCAUAGUAACAAUAAAUGAAGGGAGGAUAAAGUAGUUAACCUUUACAACACUUUGGAUGAGUGAAAUCCCCAAGAAAUUGAGGGGAAAAAAUUGGGUAGCACCUCCCUAAGCUUGUUUGGUCACCACGGAGAAGGAGUCCGAAGCUCUCAGUCUGAGUGUCUUGGGCUCGGGGAGGAAGAAGCUGACUUUUAUAGGCGAGGCAUUUCCAACCGGGACUAAAUGGGUGGCCUUUAGUCCCGGUUGGUGUUACCAACCAGACUAAAUGUCCCACCAAAAUCCAUCAUGUUUACUAGCCGUUACAACCGGGAUUAAAUGGGGUUCUUCAGUCCUGAUUAAUAUUACUAGCCGGGGACUAAAGCUCCUAUCGUCGGUGGUGGCCAUUUGACCACGGACUAAAGCUCCUUUAGUACCAAGUCCAAAAAGCGUCGAGACAUAUUAUGCUGGAUGGAAGGUCUAUUCUCCACUAGUGUCUCUAUCUGGAAUAGUGCAAAUGGAUGCUGAAAUCAUAUAUCAUUAAAACUAGAACAUAGUGAUACGAUCAGCAUUUAAGUUAGGUUAGAUCAGGUUAGGUUAGAUCAGAGCAGAUGUUGCAGUAAUACACCCACGCCACAUCUGCUGGUUCAGGCAUGGCCACUUAUAAAGGGCUCAUUGCCCUGCUUCCUGUCCUUCCUCCAGUACCCAAACAAUUAUUUUAGCUAGCUUUCUUGGUUUCCUGAAUUCAUACAAGCUCGAAUCCACUCAACCAUCUAGAAUAGACUACUAGAGGUAAGAGAGCUGGACCGAACUUUGCAUGAGCUGCGAUUUGAUGCAGUAUGUGGUAUGCGUCGGGAAUAGAAGGUGUGUGGAACCAUGUCAUCUGCCUAGUUUUCCUGCUGAAUUUGUGCUCUGCUGUGACUUCCAUAGUUCCAUGCACAAUUUGCCCUACACAGUUCAUCAUCUUAGUCAGCUAUUUAUGCACCAACAGCCUGGGCGAGGGAGUCUGUUUUUAGCUAGAGCCUAGAAUAUACAAUGAUAUCCUUGUGGAAGCAGGGAUUAUGCAUCCACAUCGCAUAUAUUACCCCAAAUUAGUCUACAAUUUAUUUAUCGAUCAAGGGAGAAAUGCGUGCGGGAUAUUUUCCAAUCUGUUUUAUAUUUUCCUCUGAAUUAAGUAUCCACCAAGCGUGUAGUAUGAGAGCAGGUAGGACCUGAAUUUCAUGGCACACUAUUUAUGGAACAGUUCUACAUUUGUCUUAUGAAACCGAUUUUCUCAUACAUUUCAUGAUCUGCAACGUCUGUGUAGCAGUUCAGCAAGAAAACUCCACUCCAGUGAUCAGCCUUUCCUCCCUAUGCCUCUAUAUUUAUCUCAGUUCGGACACCGAAGUGACCGUUGAAAAGCAUUUAUGUUGAGAUCCAUAAGAUACAAUUACCUACAGCCCGUAAUAUCAAUAAAUGUACAGCAAGUAUAACGGUAACCCACCAAUCUCUCUCUGCCAACCAGGACCUUUUUAUUAGAAAAAACAAUAAUGUUUCUACUUAUGAUAUCUCUAUAUAUCACCAAAAUGAUGCAUGUGGCUGCGCAUUGUAUUUUGUCGACCUCCUCCCAUUCCUUCUUAAUCUUAAAAAAACCUUGGCCUGGAUAAAAGCCAAACGCCCUACACAUAUAUAUGAAUGAAUUCAGCAGAGAAGACAUAGCAUGGCAAUAAAAUAUUACCUGUUGGAGUCCGAAGUAUUAUGUAAUUGUAAGGCUAAUUCCAGUGGGGGUUUCAUAGAGGUUCCAUGCAUAUUAAAUACGGUGACACAUCAGCAUAUGUGAUGACAUGGCAUGGUAGUUAUGAAGUGAGAGAGGGAAGGAGUUUCAUCAGGAUGAAACUGUGUAUACACUGUUUCCAAGACUAUGAAACCUAUUGAAACUUACAUUGGGGGUUAUAGAGUUUCAUUUCAUCUAACCAUAUCCAAUCACAUACCUCACAAUUGGCAUCCUAUGAAAUCGUGAAAUGAAACUGUGCACUGGGACUCCCCGUUUCAUUCAUGAGAAUACACCUCAUGGGAUGAUGUGGCAUCUUUGAAAACAGUGCAAUGAAACCUUGCACUGGGACUAGCCUAAUGCAUUAGGAAUAGGAAGCAUAGGGAAACACAUCACUUCAGAUGUGUAACCAAAAUGGACACAGCCAUGAUAGAACCCACGACCACCCACUAGACGGAUCCGGCAUAACAGUCCGUAUGCAUCCAACAAGUAGCUUCUGUCUUAGGGAAUAGAGGCUGGGCCCGGAGCGUGUUGAUAUUCUCGAGCUCCAGAUCGAUGUUCAGCUGUAUUAAUUUGUCAUGUGUCUUCAUCUCAAAGACAACGACAAGAUGCCCAAGGCGACAAGUUGACUUAUUUCGCAACUGUUGUUCGCACAAGUUGCUGGCCAUGUUGUAGGUAUGCAACUAGCCUUCUUGGUCUUCUUUGUUCAUAGAAACGGCUAGAGAAUUGAAUCCCCUAAACCAACUAGAAUAGACUAUGGGAGCAAUAAGGGUGGACCGACCUUGCAUGCGCUUGGUCUUGGAGGCUUGUGCGACAACAUCUUCGGUCCUUCGGGUUGUCUCAUCAGGACCACUUCAGCACAAUACUUGUCUACGGAUGUGGAAAAAGGUUUCCUUCAAAGAGUUGUGCAAAUAUUUAGUUUCUUCUUUUAUUUUUUGUCCACCGGUGAUGAAAUUUCCUGUUUAUAAAGUCUUUUGAUGGCUUUCCUUUAACCUGUGACAUAGUCGGAAGAUUGAGCCAAAGCUUUAGCCAAACAAUGAGGAUGAAGUAAUGAUUUAGUUCUUCGUCCAAAAUUAUUUCUCUGAAUUGUUCGCAAGACUCGUCAAAGGUGCAGAGUUUUUUUCUGAUAAUUAGUUGGUCUGAAGAAGGGAUUGCUUAACUUAUUUGGAUUUUGUGGGUUAUUAUAUCGAACUAUCAGAGCCAACACAUAUUUCACCUCAUGUGUUUCUUUAAUUGCUUUGGAACAAGACUUAUUUUGGAUGGACCCAGCACACGUGUCACGUAAGUUGCUGCGAGAAGUAACUAUAUGUCAGCUUAUCAGAGAAAUCGUAAAAUCAAAACGAAGUAGCAUAGUAUAUAUAGAUGAAGCUAAAAUAAUAGAAAAAAUAUCUAGUAAAUAAGAAGAAAUAGGAAACAAAAUUUGAACAUAAGAAGACUCGAAAAAGGGCAGCGGUUCCCAUGCAAUUCCCUGCAGGAUUUAUAUAACAAGUUGCCUCACCUUAUAAUGAAAUCACAGUAAGAUGCAGGUGGGUAUACAGAAAGCUGUAUUCCAGUGAGAAUGGCCUCGUGCGAAGAAGAUAAGAAGGUGCAGCUUCAAAAACACUUGGGUGGUGGAUGCUGUGGGGAUGAGCACAUGAGGGCAAAAUUAACUAUACCUUGUCUACUACUAGUACUCGCUGCUGAACAAGCUGUUGCAGUUGUGAGAAUAUGAAUAUAUUAUGAAUAUGAAAUUCAUCAGCCUCAUUGGUGAUUUAUAUAGAGUAUACAGUGGCCUGGGUCUAAUAAAAUCUUUUAGAUAGAGAUCAACUACUAAUCCUGCCCUAUACGACGACUAGAUCAUAGAGUGAGCUAAGCACACACAAUGACUGGAGUCGAAACUGAUGAGUUUUCUUGGGUAGAUGGUAUAUCCCUUUUUCAGACAAUGUAGUCGAGUGUGGUGCAUCGUAUGCAUCGCAGUGGAUGAGGUAGUUAGUGACCCAUGGCACCAGCAAAGCACAUGUAUGCACAAAAUUAGUUCCAUCCAGAAUAACUUAUGGGGCGAGCUUAUGUGCACCAUUUCAAAAUGUCUCUGGUCUAACUCUCUUUUCAGAUACAGGACACUUAAAUGACGAGAUCUUAUAUCAUUAACACUAGCAUGUAGUGAGACGAUCAGCCAUGAACUUAGAGUAGAUAGGAUCAGAACAAAUAAUGAAGUACUGAACCCAUGCGGAUCCCCUGGUCGAAGGCAUGACCCCUCAUAAAGAGCACAUUGCCCUGCUUCCUUUCCUACCUCAUGUACUCAAAACAAUUGUUGCUGCUGGCCUUCUUGGGUCUCCCUAAUACAUACAAGCUACUAAAUCCACUCGAAUAGAUUAUGGGAGAAAGAGGUCUUUUCCGAGCAUUGGAUGAGCUGCACUUUGAAGCAAUAUGAAGCAUAAGCUACGAAUAGGAGGAAUCUGGAACAGUGUCACUUCACCACACGUGUCUAGUCGUGAGUCGUCAAGCAGCCGCUGUGGUUUAAUUUCUAUCGAUCUAAUCGGUGCCCUCUCUACAUUGGUGUGUGCUUGCUCCAAUACAUCUUAUCUCCACUAUAGUACAUAGGCAUUUGUUUGGAUUGUUGAUAUAGACUACGUACGUGUUGCAGGUUGGUGAAGUAUGUUGGACGAAUGCAUGCAGAGCAUAGUGCCACUGCCACACGAGACUGCCAGGUUUUGCGUCAAAUCUGGUCAUGACCUGGCUGGUGGCUGCCUAAUGUGAAACGUCUCCUAUUUGCACCAUAAUCUAAGUAUAGUCAUCCCUAGCCAUGGUUGAGUAGAAUCUAAUAAUACAAUUGGUGUGGAUGGAGAAAUAGCUCAAGACUGUUCUGUUCUCUACAUAGCUUCUCCAAAUUGUGACACUCUCUCCGUAACGCGUAUAUGGCCAUGCAAUUCCACUUCAUCCAUUUGAUGCAACUUUUCGCCUACCUACAAUCCUUGAUCGUUGGCCCUCAUGAUUCCUUGAUUCCUUAUCAAUAACCUUUCAUUCAGCAAUUUUAGGGAUUUUCCCCUGAUCUGAAAGAGUACAUGGUGGCGAUUGCCACUGCUUUGAUGUGUAAUUAAAUUCGUGUCUUGUGUUUUUGAUGCAUAUUGUGCAGGCUGUUUUAUUUUUGCUAAAGCAAAGAACGAUGACUUGUAGCAGGAUUGAUCAACGCAUGCGUAUAUCAUAAGAACCCACUUGUGCUAUAUGUUUCAUUCCGAAACAUUAAUUGAAAUAGAUUUUACUCUCUCCAAAUUUCAGCACAUUUUCCAAACAGUAGCAUUUCAUCACAGAUUGCAUAUUUAAUAUAAAUUCCAAUUAUAAUCAUAUUUACAUCACAUUUUUUUUAUGAAACAGGAGGGUUUUACCCCUGCUAGUUAUAUAUAUAAAAAGAGAGGACAAAUACAAGGCAGUUUGAAAUUAAGAAACAAAAAAGGUUAAAAAGAAAAUCAUGAAGAUUACAACAUCUGCUCUAGCCAUUCAACCAUUGGUUGUUUCCAGACCUCUUUUACUCUAUGCAAAACUAAAGAAUAAAUUGUCUUGAAGCGAGCGAUGGUCCCUUGAGUUGUCGGUGGUAUGUCUCGGAAGAUUGAAUCAUUUCGUGCCAUCCAGAUUCACCAGCUCAUAAUGAUGAUAAUUUCCAUGAAGAAGGGUACCUGAAGCUGAGUUUUGAAAGUACUCAUAAUGGAAAAAGGAUCCAGUUGCAAAUCUGCAAAAAGGCCUAAAUGGAUCCAACAUGCACAAACGGGCAUUCCAACAGAAGAUGAAAGAGUGUCUCAAUUUUGUUGUGGUGGCAAAGAACACAGUUAUAUGAAGGUGGGUUCAUAUGCUUUCGACGCAUGAUGUCUCUUGUACUAAGUCUGUCCUUCAAAACCAGCCAAAAGAAAACUCUAUGCUUAUUCUGACAUCUCGACUUCCAUAGCCAAUCAUAUACUGGAUGAAGGUCUCUAUGUCCAAUGAGGGACUUAUAUGCCUUUGAUGAAGAGAAGUUUGCAUUACCCUAAAUAUAUACCCAAUAGUCUGGAUCAGAUGAAAAUUCCAAUCUUUCAAGUUCUUCAGCAAGAUGGAUCAAUUGAUUGUACGCUUGUGCAGGCAAAGGCAAAUAAAAGAGUUGCUAUAAAUCUGUGAUCAAAUAUGCCCGCUGCAAAGAUAAAUUCUUAUCCCGAACAAAGGAAAAGAGAUGCGGGUAUACUUGCGCUGGCACCUGAUUAUUCCAUAAAUCAUGCCAUAAGAAGCAAGUACUGCCAUCUUUCACUGUUACUGAAGCUAUUCCUUUGAACUUAUCUAACAAUUUGAUGAUGUCCUUCCACCAGAAGGAUCCUUUAGUCACUGUGCCUGGCAGUUUACAAUUGCCAUAGUAUUUUUCCCAUAUAAGAUGAACCCACGGAAUGUCUGCUCUAUUAUAAAAUUUAUGUAAGAAUUUAAGUAACAAAGCUUCAUUUUGCGUCUGCAAAUUGAGAACACCUAGUCCACCUUCCUUCUUUGGCAAAAUCACCAUGUCCCAUGCUGCUUUAGGUGGUUUUUUGUUAUUGAUGUCUGAUCCUCUCCAAAAGCAGUGUUUUCUGUAUUUGUCCGCUUGUUUAUAUACUGAUUUAGGUAGCAGAAAGGUACUCAUAUGAAACAUUGGCAGAGCAGUAAAUAUAGAGUUUGUCAACUGUAAUCUCCCUACUUCAGAUAGGAGAUUUGAGGUGGACAGUAGUCUUCUUUCGCACCUAGUCACCAUAGGGAGAAAUUCCUCAAUUCUUGGUUUAGUCAAUCCAAGGGGUAGUCCCAAGUAUGCGAAGGGCAGUUUUCCUACUGAACAAUCAAAUGUCUGUGCUAGCUGUUAUAUCCUUUCCUCUGAGAUGUUAAUGGGCACCAUCAUGGAUUUGUUAAAAUUUACUUUCAGCCCAGUUGAGGGGCACCAUCAUGGAUUUGUUAAAAUUUACUUUCAGCCCAGUUGAGUUGGCAAAAGACUGCAGAAGGUUUUUGAGGUAAAGCAGUUGUAAUGGGCAUCCCUCCAUAAUAAUGAGUGUAUCAUCAGCAUAUUGCACUAUUGGAAAGUCCUGAUUGUAAUUAACUGGAAUUGGCAGUUGCAAAUGACCCUGCUCCUUUGCAUUGUUCAGUGUUGACUGAAGUAAAUCAGCUCCAAGGACAAAGAGAAGGGGGGAGAGAGGAUCUCCCUGUCUAACUCCCCUUUUACAAAUGAAUCUUUUUCCUGGAACUCCAUUCAUUAAGAUAGAAGAAGUUCCUAAACUAAAAAAUUGUUUCAUCCAUUUGAUCCAUUUACAUCACAUGUCUAUCUUGUAAUGCAUCAAUGUUUUAUGGAGCCAAUAAAUCGAAACAUGCCAUACCUGAGAGUGUGCGCUGAAAAACAUGUAUAUUGAGAUCCUUGGUACAAUGUACAAGGACGACUGAUGCAGAGCACGAGUGCGACAGUGUGCACAUAUGUCACAUAAUAUCCCCAGCCCAUUUAUCUUUGUCAUUAUAGUGCAAAUGAAUUUGGAGAUCUUAUAUCAUUAAAACAAGAAGAUAGAGAUACCGUCAUAUAAAGGGCACCGUUCUUUGCUUCCUAUCCUACAUGUACCUCGAGUACCCAAAAAACUGCGGUAGUCAACCUUUUUGGUCUAGACAUGAUGCAAAUAGAAGCUAGAAACUCCAAAACCAUCUGGAAUAGGACGCAGGCCGGAGAAAAAGAGCCUAUGUGUUCGAGGAAAAAAAAGGAGAAACAGAGCUGGACCGAACUUUCAUGAGCUGCAAUUUUACACAAUAUGUUACAUGCGCUCGAAAUAAGAGGCAUCUGGAACUGCAUCGCCUUAGGAGCGAGGAUGCUAGUAUACUCGUUGUGAAAAAGAACAUUGCAUCCAGUUUCUAGGGCGCUCUUUCUGGUAGGUUGUGAACAUCCGGAGAAACGCAUGUAUUGUGACUAGGGGGUUGGCUAGUAGGAUAAGCCCAUCUGCAAAUAUAUUUUUCAUUCUUUUACAUUGGUUUUUAGUAGUCAAUACUAGCAAUGGUUUAGAUCCUCUCUCCAGGAUUUUUUUACUUUUACCACGUUAGUAUAGACUAUAGGAAAAGUAUUAAAAAGGAUAGAAUGUGAAGGACCUGUAUGGAAACAAAAAAUUAAAAAACAAAAAAAAUGGCUAAACCAAAUUUUUAAGCUUGCGUGUCAGUUUAAGGUUCAGUAGCAGUAAAAUCUUCACAGUGCCCUAAUGGGUUAUGGGUGCCCACGACUUUUUUUUUUGCAAAACACACUAAAAAAUAACCGCUCAUAGACACACAUACACCCAACCUUAUGAAGACAAAUACAGAAAUCUAUCCUUAUAAGCACCUUCGAGAGACUCCGGUAGAUCAUGAUAUUAACAUAAUCACUACAGGCACCUUACUUUCAAUGGGCACAUCAUCUACAAUAAAAAGAAUAACAUCGAUUAAUCUAGAAAAAUUCCUCAACAAAUUUCUUUAAGUCGGAUUGUCUGCGUCGCUUUCGAAGGAUAUGUCUACAUUCUUCCACAGCCACAACCAAGGCGUGUGGUAUAUGGUUGGCUGGCUCCUGGAGCUUUUGAUGCUGGAAAAAAAUUCUACGAAGGAGUCCUACAAGAAACGCAAUGUGCAGGACCUUGCCCGAUGGCUGAUGCGUGGCCGACUAGGAAAUCUGGCACGUGGGCCUCGCAACCGGAGGAAAACUGAAAGAGACACGGACGAGCCAGCACCUCACCUCGGCUCGACUCGAUGAUCAUCAGCUCACACGUACACUCAUGUGCAGAGCCACUCGCGUAACUAGCUUGCCGCCUGGUCGAGUACCUGUAUAUGUUGAGGUCCUUCGUAUCACAAGAUACAGUUAGUUAUAAGGUUGAUUAAUGCAAAGCAAAUGUGACAGCAACAGUGGACCCAAAAAUGUCCACUUGUUUAUCCUGGACCUGCUUAUUAAUAAGAAAGGGCAAUGCUCGUUCUUAUUCCAUCUCCUUAUAUCAUCCGAUCGAGUGAUGUAUGUGGCAGCUCGUUUUAUUCUGCUGACCUCCUCCGAUCCAAUUACUGCUCAGCUAUGAAUCAAUGCAUUGGUAACAGGAAGCAUCCGGAAUCAUUUCCCUUCAGAUAUGUAACCAAUGUAAUCAUCUCCAUGACAAAACCAACGAAUUAACGACUCGCCGGAUCCAGCAUACUAGUCUGCCUGAAACUAGCAGCCUCUAUCUUGUGGAGUGGAGGCAGGACACCGAGCAUGUGGACUGCCUCGAGCUCGCACAUCGGUGUCCAUCAGCCUCGAUGUGCCCAUCAGCCUCCAAGAUAAGCAGGACGACGCUGCAAUGUAAUGUGCAGCGAACAUGGUCCCAUUAGGCUAUAGUUUGUGAUUUUGGUAAUUGAGUAACAACAUAGUCAUUAGGACUAAUGCUUUUGUCUAGCAUGUACCUUAUAGUUUUUCUAGAUCCCAAGAAUACAAAUCCUGGUAUUCUUGACACCAAAAUCAUGGUUUUCGAGUAUCCAAGUCAUGGUAUUCGAGUAUCCCUAUAGCUUCGGAUGUUUCGAUGCCCUAUGGAGUUGACUGUCGGACGAAGCAUAUUUAAUGUGAUAUCACGCAGAGAAGUUUUGGCCAUAAAACCAUCAGCAUCGGAUAAAGUGUCGGAUGAAUUCUUGAGGAACUUGUGCUUGGGGAGCCAACGGCUAGUUGCACUGGAUGUUCUGAUGCAGGCUAAAAAUAGACCAUUGAAACAUCCGAUGGUACCCUUUUUCACUAGCCGUUGGAGCAACAGCUCUUUGAGCCCUUGGGGCUAUUUAUACCCCCACCACUCGCCCAUUUGGAGAAGCUGGAGUGUCCUAGGAUUCAUUGAAGACUAGGACUCAUCAAGAACACAUCCAUGCCACCAAAAUAGCUUAAGUGAUCCAUGAAAGAUUUAGUACAAGCUUAGGAGAGUGAUUAGUGCUAGGAUAGGCCUAGAGAAGUGACAGUCCAACGUGUGCCAACCUUGUGGUUAGGUUCUUGAGUGAACCAAGUGUACAAGAGGUGUGCCGGCGCCUUGGAGCCUUAGUGGCUCACCGGUAAGUCUUCGACCCUCCGGUGUGGCGCGGCAUUGACUACCGUGUACGGGGGACGUGGAGACCCCCUUCCUUCGUGGAGAAGCUCCGUAGUGGAUACGGCAUCAAGAUGACCAAGGAACUUGGCGUGUGCCUUAGUAGCCGAGCUUUUGUGGCAAGUCAAGGUGUGCCUUAGGAGAGACUUGGUCACUGGGAAGCAAUACUCUUAUGUGAGUGCUUCAACAACGUGGACUAGUGGUGGCUUAGUGCCUACCAAUACCAUAGGAUAAAUCAUCAUGUCAAGAGUUUUUUUCCUCUCAUCCCCUCCUUUACGUUUCCGCAUUUCAUACUUGCAACUUGUGUACUUUUACUUUCCUAGAGUAGUAUUUUGAUAGGAUUGACUAUAGGUUGCAAAACUAUUUGACUAGAUCAACCGUAAAAUGCACAUCUAGAUAGAAAUAAUCUAGUUUACUUUCAUGAAAAAAUGGAAGCCAUAGGUUUAAAAUUUAAGUUUGUCUAAUUUACUCUCUCUCCCUCUUAGGCUACGAGUACCCAUUCCUUUCACAAUGCACUUGGCAUAAGCGUUCAUCUCAAGAACAUGGACAAGUAACCGAAGGCAAGGAGGCGUGUGAUGGAUAAGGUGUGGACUUUGAGUCCUUUGGUAACUGAUGCUCCUACAGCCUCUCCUGUAAACGAUGCUGACGAUGUACUUCAAGUAGCAGAAGGCAGAAUACGUAUCAUAGCACCAUGACAGUACACACAAGUCACCGCUUCAGAUUCUCGUUCUCCAAUUAUGCAUCGUCUGAUUAAUUUUGGGGAACUUUCUCCCCAAGCAUAACGUAUUGGCGGAUCAACUUUGGAGUGUUUGGUUUGAGGAACCGCCUCAUCCUAGAUGCGGUGAUUGAUCAUAAGAUAAUUCUAUGAAGUUUUGUAGGAUGAGCAAAUUUAUCAUGCUUAUACACUCGCACUAAUUAAUAGCUUGUGAGGGAUCCUUAGGUGAUGGAUCAACCCAUUCCAAUCCAUAGAUCAAAUAAAAAAGUGAAGAGUGUAUUCCGCAACCGAAACACACCUACUUGCCUGACGUGCUAUAUACGCUGAGGAAGAAGGUGGUGCCUGAUAGGACUUGGGAGGACCUAUAUAUAUUGGCGUUCUGGGUAACGACUGCGUACUCUCCUACGUACGUACCUCAGCUCUCUACCGGCCUAUCCACGCUUGAUCGAAUGGCCAUAUGGCCGAACAACAUUGAAUUGUUCCAGAAUCUGAUCGAAGUGCUGCAUCCUGCUCAAUCAGCUGUAACUGUGUUACGGCGAGGCGUAGCUGAGCGCAAGAUGCGGCACUGCAGCUGACCAGUGAGGCCUAUCAUGGUGCUAAACGAGGGCACCGUCCGGAACUAGUAGUCCUCGUAGUCCUUGUUAGUCCUGUGCAAUUUCUUAUAUGCAGAUUGCGGUCGCUUCAUGUCAGGGUAUACGUAGUCCUCACAAGCUUGUGCGUGUCCUUUCAGAAUAUCCCCAGCCAAACUCUCUUUCUAGAUAGACUGCAUGUUAAAAGGUAGAAAUGUAGAAUAGCUUCUCUUUCCUUGUAAUUCAAGAAACGUGUAAUCCAUGAACUCUGGCCCUAUCUGCCGAUAGGAUUGCCGUACAAAUAAAUCUAUACGAAGACGUAACUGACCCACCGUAGGCCAUUCAACCCAAUUAGCUUUACAGUGCACCUGAAUGCUGAGAUCUUCUAUCAUUAAACUAGAAGAUGGUGAUAGCAUCAACAUUGAAGUCACUUUAGAAAAGAGAAAACGACACUGUACUGCGCCCAUGCCAAUUCCUCUAGUUCAGGCACAUUGGCCCUGCUUCAGUAUCCUUCCUCAAGUACCCAAACAAUUAUUGUAGCAAGCCUUUCUUGGUCUCCUUAAUACACAUAAACCUAGAAUCCCCCAAACCAACUGAAAUAGACUAUGGGAGAAAUAGGACUGGACGAGCUUGCGCGAUUUGCAAUUUGACUUAUUAUAUAGCAAGAGCUGGAAAUUGGAGGCGUGCGGAACGGCGUCACCUCUGGUUGGUACAGUCUCUCGGACCUGCAGUAGAAUUACUACAGCAGCACCAGACUCUUCUACCACUGAAGAAUCCGUUGAAGCUCUGAUCUAGUCUGUGUUUUCUCUACCACCGGUGCUAGCUUGCUCCUACAAAAUCGUAACACCACCAUAGGGCAUAUGAAUAUGUGGCUUGACUGUUGGUCACAAAUAUUCAUAUGUUGCAUGUGUGGUUCAUUUUAGUAAUUUUAAUAUAUAAAAACUAUUGUUAUGGGCCAAGACAAGGUUGAUGACUGGGCAAAGACAAAACCAGGUUGAUGAGUGUCAAAAUUUCUAAAUUUCUUGCACUAGAAUUGCACUCUCUUAUUUUGUGGCUUUGUUCUGUAAAGUAUGUAUGUGCUUUAGCAGAGAGUCCAAAGGGUCCUUUUUUUGCGACCUAGUCCUCAGGGUCCUUGACAUCACUACGAGAAACACUUAAUUUGCCGAGUGCCACAGGCACUCGGCGAAGACCCAAAAACACUCGGCAAAGGCUUUGCCGAGUGUUACACUCGGCAUAUAGCACACGGCAAAUUUUGUGUCAGCAAACACGACUUUGCCGAGUGUCAAAACUCGAGCACUCGGCAAACAUUUUGCCGACGGCCAAAAAACACUCGGCGAAAAGACACACUCGGCGAAAUGGGCAUUGACGGCGUCGAGGGUAACGGCGGGUUUGCCGAGUGCCAGACGGUAGGCACUCGGCAAACACCACCGCUUUGCCGAGUGCCAACACUCGGCAAACACCCCCGCUAUGCCGAGUGUAAGCACACGGCAAAGCCGUGGUGUUUGCCGAGUGCCUACACACGGCAAACUCGGCCACUUUGCCGAGUGCCCUGGCCCUGACACUCGGCAAAGGAGCGCUGUUUGCCGAGUGUUUUGGCUUUAACACUCGGCAAACACCUGGCGCCCGGAGGUGCAACUGCCACCUUUGCCGAGUGUUAAAGACAAAACACUCGGCAAAGGCUCCUCUUUGCCGAGUAUCCCUAUAGCAAAGUGCCCAAAACCCCCCUUUUUCCCGUUUUGUCACGUAUAACGGACUCCUCUCAAUUCACAAUACACAUCAUCACAGGCAUUUGUAAUAAACAAUCACAUGCAUAAUUCACAACCACCAUUAAAAAUAUUAUUCAUAAACAUCACAGGCAUAAUUCAACAUAAGCACGAAACAAUCCAUAAAUCCAAGUUCAAGUCACAAUUUAGUUUCCAAGUUCACAAAAGUCUAGUUCUGUGGAGGCCAAGGAGACCACUGCGACAAAUCUUGAUCUUCAUUAUUCGAAGCCGCCGAUUGAUUCUGCACAUAGGAUAGGACAUUCUGAGCUAACAUCUAAAGUUGUCAAAAUUAAAGUAUUGAAUCUUAAGCACAAUGUGUCAAGUGACUCACAGGAGUAGUUGUGGGUGGCUGAGGCGGAGGGAACAGCAUCGGUGGUGGCGGAGGCAAAAACUGACCCAUGCUCGAAGCAAAAUUCUGCAUGUACUGGAACAUCUGGUCCAUCCUCAUCCGAUUUUCUUCCUCCGUCCUCCGCUGCAUGUCCUCCAUCUGCGCCACCGUCUCCUCUUGUUUCUUCCUUGCUUCUUCCACCUGGGCCUACAAUAUUUCAUUGCAAUGUUAUAAUGCAAAGCUAAAGUAUAACAACAAACGAACGAUGAAUGGAAGAGAAAGAACCUAGAGAGCCUCCAUCUGGAACUGUGCAGUGGUGGGUCGUGGCCGUAUCGCCGGGCUCGAGUCCGUGCUCCUAGCUCGGAUCUAGGAGAGAGUGGGAGUAGAGGCCGUGUCGAUUACGUCGUCGCCAAUCCAAUAUCGGCCAUGCUUCUUGCCUCCAACCACCCUCAUCAUGAUUUCUCCAUCAAUAUCCUCGGAGCUCGGAUCGAAGUCUGGCCCGUGAACCUCCCUAGCCAUCUUUGUAUACUCAUUGACGCGACUGUGUAUGCUAGGAUGGCUGUACGCCUCGGACGGGUCGUCUGGGUUGAAAUCGAUAUCGGCCAUCGCCUUGCCCUUUUUAGAGAGGACCCAUGCCUUGAGCUGGGAGCAAGGUCGGCCAUCAUGUGACGCCGACUACAGCAAAAAUUACAAAAUGAUUAGGAAUUAUGUAGAAUUAAAUGUUAGAAUAAAGAAUUGAAGUUGCGUACCCAUUUUUCUCUAUAUUCAUCAAGGCUUAGGCUACCUUGAUGGUGUGGUGCAGUCGGCAUCUGCAAACGUCGCUGCUAGCAAGCAAGGUGGUUCUCCAACCACCCGGGCUCCAACCACACGUCAACCAUCUACUCCCAGCACUGGAUAUGCGCACGACACCACCACGGAGCCACCUACAUCAUCAAGCAUGUGACAUAUGAAAAAGAAAUUGAGUCUAAUUAAUCUUAAAUAGUAAGUGUCAACGUUCUUUACUUACCCUCAUGAAUUGGUCCUUGGUCUGGUUCAUUGUUCUUGCCUCCUCUUUUCUAACCUUCAUCCGUCUGUAUUGAGCGUGGAAUUCGAUGAUGGCCUGGAUGCACGCCUCGUAAUGCAUGUCCUUCACGAGCUUCUUGGCGGCUACAUCACAGACGGCCUUCGCCUUGGCCUCGAAUCCCUCCUGGCAUCUAUAGAAAUCCUGCAUAUAGACGCAUAUACAGUUAUUAUUUCAAGAAUGUCGAACGUAGGUGAUGUAUUGAGCAAUUUAAUGCGAGGAGUACUUACCCACAGCUCAGCCUUGACCCGCUCUGCUAUGUUGGGGAAUCUCCUCUGUUGACGAUCAGGGACGUCGGGGGUGGCGACGUAGUGGUCCCACAUGUAGGCCGGCUGCUGCUGUCCGGCGUACUCCACCAAGCCAGGGAAGUGAACCCUGCACAAAGUGCCAAGGAUCCCGUUGGCCUUACGGUUGUGGUCACCCCCACUGAGCUUAAUCCAACUCCUGCACAAGUCAUUAAUAUAAAUUAUUAGUUUUUGUAACUUUCAACAUAAGAACAUUAUUAAGAAUAUUUAAAGUUACUUACUUGGUCCCAACCGGUUUAAUCAGCGGGCGUAAAUGCUUAGGUAUCGAACGCUUCGGGAGGGAUGAGGGACCUCGCAACCAUAUCUUGGACUGGGCAUCCCCUGCCUCCCUGUCCCCCUCCUGCUCCUGCUGCUCCUCCUCCUCCGCCUCCUCCUGCUCAUCGUCCCCAGAGGCGUGUGCGGAAGGUAGCUCCUCCUCCUCCUCCUCCUCCUCUACCUCAGGUUCAGGCGACGGGGGCCUCGCCGCUUUACCUUUCCCUCGAGGCCUCUGGACCACCUCCUCCUCCUCCUCCUCCUCAACCCUACGUCGAGGCCUGCCUCGACGCCUCCCUCGACCGCUCCCUAAACGUGACCCUGACCCUGAACCAGUGGCCGGUGGAGGCCUUCAAGUGCGUGCCCAUGCAAGUAGAAUUAGGAAGGCAAUCUUUUUUCCUCAAUCACAUUUGGACUCAAGGAGCUCUUUUUAUAGCACGGCCGCACCUGGUCCCUUAGAACUCGGUCCUCUUUGACUAAGCCAAGUUCAAUUCCAACAGCCCGGACUUACCCUGCCAAGUCGUUGGUGAGCCAAAUAUUUGGCGGCCGUUUCUGCCGCCCGCAGUUCGCCAACGCGGGGGUGAGAAAAUGAACUAAGCGGCAACAUGAGCCAACGACGCGGCACGGGCAAGCCAAAAAAUUAGCGCUAAUCCAAACGACGGCCAACGGAGCGUGGGCUAGCAAAUAUUUGGCGGGGCCAGCGUUGGUCGUAAUCCAAUCAUUUCCAUACUCUUUAUAAUGCCAUAAGGGCCAUGUCUCAAGGAGUGGGUCGUUGGUGGGUGCAGUGCGUUUGCUCUGUUGUACGAGAUCAUAUCAACAUCCUGUAUUCCCAUCGAUCUCACGACUCGAAAUGAACUGUUCCUGGACAGAACAGCCGCAUAGGGCUGAAUUAUCGUAGGUUGUGGCAUGCCAACAGCUAACUUCACUCCACAUGCCCGUUUCCUGGAUGCUUCGUGCACCUCCACCUCGCUACCAAAUUGUUUUGUAGGUUCAGAGCAUCUGCACCAGGCAUCUAAAUGGUUCCUAGCUUGUUAAUUUCAUGGCAACACAAAGACAUCACCCUUGUCAAACUAGUCUUAGUUACAGCCCAAUGAGCCUCAUCGGCCAGGUUUCCUGCAAUUCGCAGCUCGGUGGUAUGGCAGCACCCCAUCGAAUGCUAUACUGAUCGUGGUUGCAUCAUGGUGGUGCAAUCGAGACAUGCAUGGAGCUCCUCAACCUUAACUAUUCCUCACCCACAUCCAUUUUCCUUCCAAGAACAUGCGACAUUAGAGAGGGAUAGAUGUACUUCUAGAUGCCUACAUCAGUUGCUUGUCAUAUAUCUACCAACAAACUAUAUGCAUAUUAAUAGUAAAAUCACAUCUUAAUGUAUCAACAAUAAGGUGUUCCUGGAUUCGCUUCUGUAAUUUCUCUAUGUUGACACUAUUGAAGAUCGUAUCUUGUAGUAAAAAACACUCGACAUGCGGGGGUAAGACAACCUCAGGGCAUUUGUUAAGAGAAGAUCUUCUCACACAGGUCGAGAAAACCCCCACAGUCCUACCCCACCCUUACACAGAGGCACUGUAGCAUGUGUGAGACGAUUAACACGACCUGAGGAGUACUACUAUAGCCACAUAAUCAACUCAGCUAGAAGCCCGUUCGGCUUAUUAUUUGCUUCAUUGAUCGGAUUGACGUCUUCAAAUAUCGGAGGGACUUUUCAUUGGUCUGAGUGAGUGAUCUAUUUAUUUAGUGCUUGAAUAUUCAUACAAUUCUAGAGACAUCUUGAUGUGAUCUUAAGUGAGCUAGCUAAAAUUUCAACAACUUCUUGAACUUAGUACUAUAAGUAGGCAUCGAGAGAUUUGGAACUUCUCCAUUAGGUUAUAAUGAGUAUCCUUCAAGAAACCAAAGCAACUUGUAAGCUUAAUAAAAUAAACUAAGCAAACAGGACAUCGUACUUAGGGAUGGAAAUGGUACGGAUACAGACAGAAUUCAAAUAUUUUUAGUCGAAUAUCCAUAUUUUUUGUCGAAUGAUUCGAAUUUGAACGUUCUCGAAUACGAAUACAAAAUGAUCGAAUGCGCGCAUUCGGAUAUCUACUAAAUUUAAAUUAUAGCUACUAACUACUUUUUUAAUUGAUCAUUUUGGAAUAUCAAAAUCAUUUCGCAAGUAGAGAAUAAAGUAUGACUAUGUAACACAUGUAAACAAAAAUACAUAGUUCAGAAUAAAUAUUUAUCAAUAAAUAUUUCAAUAAUUAAAUGUAUUAAUAAUAAUAAAUAAUAAAAAUAAGUGAAUAUUUUAAUAAAUAAAUGGAUAAAAAUAAUUUAUGCAUAAAUAAACAAGUAAAAUAUGGUACUAAAAACUAAUUUGCAUCAAUAAAUAUAUCUAUUUCAAACUAAAUUAAAAUAAUAUAUUUAUAGCAUGGUUUGGAGAGGUGCUUUAUUCUAAACGAAUACGAAUAAUAUCAGAUAUUUCGAAUACGAAUCCGAAUUCGUAUAGACAAAACUUAUUAGAAAGCGAAUUCGGAUACAUCCACUUUAGUUACCAUAUUAGAAAUGGACGCGGAUACGAAUAUCCAUAUUUACAUUUUAUUGAAUAAGAAUUCGGAUAAUUCAGAUUUCCAGCUAUCCAUUUCCACCCUAUUCAUACUGCAAAUCUUCCAAGGCAUUUAACAAGGAAAGCAUUGGCGUUUAGUUUGUGAAAAUUAAAGCAUUGAUUCCUACCACGUAAGAUUAGGGUUGCACGUUCUAUGAUGGGAGCAAAUUUGAACAAUGGGGCAACUCGAUCCCUCUACUUAUUUCAAGGGGAUCGGUUUGGGCUAGUUCAACUACACUUUGAUUGUGCCUGAUCUGUUCCUCCUCAUUGAUUCCUGCGGAGUAAUAUUAGGCAUCUGCCUACAUGCUUCAUCCCAAAUUUAUCAUUAGAUUCCUCCAAAGACCCUUCUGUGUAUCACAAGCUUAUAUACCACAAAUUUCGUUCUCCUCUAAACAGUUCAGUUUUUGGCCUAUGUCGCCCAUAUCGUUAGAGUCCUAUUCCAACCUUCUCUUUUUGGCAGACAAAGGGACCUUUUAUAGAUGGAUAAAAAGGACCACUAGUUGAAGUACAUUAUGAAUUUUUCGGACUUUGUAACAAAAGAAUAGUUUAGUAAAAAUAAAUAACUGCACUUCACCCACAAACACCAAUAAUCCUGCGAUCCUAUGUUGAAGUUUGCCUGUGCAAAAGGACACCGAUUGCCCAGCUUUCAAUCAUAUCUCAGUUACCAAAUUAAAAUGGUUGGUGUGUCCUUUUAAUGGAAAAAGUUUGCUGUAGGCAGCUGGUCUUCUUGGUCCUUAGUUUCCUUUAUAUAUACAUACAAACUAGAAUCCUUGAACCAAUUAAAAUGGACCGGAUAACAAAAGCAUGCAUGAUCUGGACUUGCACGCAUGAUGUGGCCUACUGGAAUAGGGGGCAUCUAGCUAGAACCACAUCACUUGGGGGCGUCGCUAUUGCACCACUUCAAUCCUUGAUGGAGCUAGCAACAGAAGAGGUAGAUGCAGUUGCCCAAUAUCAAAUUGGUUCUCUUACUGUCACCGGUGCUUGCGUUAGUGAAAUAUUCAGUAUCUUUUGUCAUGUGUGCUGUCCGGUAUCUUUUGUCAAACGGCACCACUAGCACUUAGACGUCCAAUUUUUCUCGUCGGACGGUCCGUUGCAACAUGAGGAAAUAAAGUCUGCAACACUGAAACUUAGCUUUUGUAACAUUCAAAUAUACGAUUAAAAUAUCAGCUCCAUAACAUCCGAUUCUAAAGAAAAACAAAUUCCCACCGCAACAAAUAAGAGAUGUUUCAUGCAACAUCCCAAUUCAAAUCGUCUUUUUAAGUAAGAAUCGUAACUUUGCAUAUCAGCUAUUGAAAUAUUUAAUACCUUAUGCAACAUCGAGAAAUGGCUAAUGCAACAAUAUCACUUGUUGCAGUAUCAAGGAAAAGUCUGUAGCAUUUCAAAUUAAUUUAUGCAACGUUGGGAAACACUAACCCAAACAUCUCAAACCAUCAAGUGCAUCAGAAAAAUCGAACAUGAAACUGGACAUCUCAAAACCAAUAUUGCAACAUCAAAGACCAUCUAAUGCAACAUCAGCAAACACUAAUCCCAACAUCUCAAAAAUACCAACUGCAACAUCGUAAAAUUUUGGUGCGUCGUGUCUUACUGGUGCCUCUAAACAUGGAGUCUUCUUCCUCCAUAUCAUAAUAGAAUGCUCUCAUGGAGUCAUGGUGCAUACAUCCAUCUUCCCCUUUACAUGGACCUCCUCCCGGUAGCACUACGGGAACCAGACACUUUGCCGAGUGCCACAGGCACUCGGCGAAGACACGAAAACACUCGGCAAAGGCUUUGCCGAGUGUAACACUCGGCAAACAGCACACGGCAAAUUUCCUGUCGGCAAAGACUAGUUUGCUGAGUGUCAAAACGCGAGCACUCGGCAAACAUUUUGCCGACGGCCAAAAAACACUCGGCGAAAAGAUGUACUCGGCGAAAUACGCGCUGACGGUGUCGGGGGUAACGGCGGGUUUACCGAGUGCCAGACGGGAGGCACUCGGCAAACACCGGGUCUUUGUCGAGUGUCCGGGUCUUUGCCGAGUGCCAACACUCGGCAAAGACCCCAUGUUUGCCGAGUGUCACAGGUGGGCACUCGGCAAAGUCAGCUUGUUUGCCCCCGGAAAUUUGUGACUCACACUGACACGUGGACCCUUGGCGCGCAUUGCCGAGUGCCCCGGGGUGACACUCGGCAAACAAAGUAGUUGCCGAGUGCCCUACUUCGACACUCGGCAAAAAGGUACCCAUAUUGCAUGUGCAAAGCACUUUUAGUAAUUAAAAGUAUGUAAACUUUGUGUAAACCUAGUCAAAUUCACUAAACAUUGCGUAUUCCAUUUUUUAAGUAAUAUUGUUCCAUUAUUUCAUGGAUUUAUAGCUCAUAUUGAAUUUAUAUCUAUUAAAUUCAUAUACUUGCAAUUAAUAAAUAAAAAUUAUCCAACGGAUCCGAAAAAUCCUCAAAAUUUAACAUGAACCAAUCUAUGUUCUCUAUGGCCUAUAAAAAUAAAUUGGGACUCAAUGACAAAUUCAAGUAUCGAUUCGACUCAAAAUCUUACCGGAUCCUUCCAACUUCUACGAAUCCUCUCCGGAGAUACUUCAAAUUCUAAGCAUCAUAUGUCAAAACUUGUGCGAAACCUUGUCAAUUUUUUACCACAGCCUCUGCAUAUGAAAUCAUAGCAUCUUGCAAAAUCUCGUGAUUUUCAAACUUCGUUUGUAUUUUUGAGAAUUAAAUAAUCAUUUGGCCACACGUUCGUAGUCGUAUUUCCUUAACAAAAUGUUCGAAAUUUCUUUUCAUUUUCUGGGUAAGACCUCAAUUUGGACUCACUAACAUGAAUAUAAUUUUUCCACUCAUAUUAUUACAUUAUUCCAAUCACCUGCAGUUCAAAUUUGACUUAAAUCAACAAAUUACUCUAAAUGAAAUUAAUUGAUUAAAUAUAGCAAACAGGUCAAUAAGAAGUCCACCUUGUACCAUGCAGUGCCAAAUCUCAUACAUGUGGAGUAUAAAAAGUUUGGAGGGGGGAGGAGGGAAUUUUUUUUUUGCCGAGUGUGCCAAAAAACACUCGGCAACCCCUUAGGUUUGCCGAGUGCCCCACCGAGACACUCGGCAAACUCUCAGCUUUGCCGAGUGCCCCAUCGAGACACUCGGCAAACAUGGAGUUUGUCGAGUGCCCCCCGUCGACACUCGGCAAACCGUAACAUCCGUCACGGCGACGGCCCAGCGCGGUACGUGGAAGUCACGUGCUCAAGUAUUUACCGAGUGGAUUUUGUUUGCUGAGUGCCCCGUGGAAGUUUGCCGAGUGUUUUUUUUGUGGCACUCGGCAAAUCGUGUUUUUGCCGAGUGUAUUAUUUUUGCCGAGUGUUACUAGGAAUGCACUCGGCAAACGGGUCCUUGCCGAGUGCCCGCAAUAAUACACUCGGCGAAGAAAUUACACUCGGCGACUUUGAGGUUUCCCGUAGUGUAGGCACAUAAGUAGGAGCAAGCGCAUGGCUCGGCCACCGGCAUGGGAGCAAGCGACUCAGCAUCCUGCGACCAUGUCCUCAAACGACGUGAAUUGGAAUAGCUCGUGACCCAGGUUGGCGGUGACGGCUCCCAGCGGGAGCUCGGUGGGUGCACUGCUUUGGCCUUUGGCGGUGUGGGGCAUGACCACUGCAAUCUCACUAGCAUCUAGCAUGUGCGCUGGAUGCCUGGAUGAGAAGGGGAGUAGCUUCUCAUGGAAGGAACCAGAUGAGGGGAAAGUGAAAGGAAAAGAACUAAUGCGUGGAGGCAACGUGUGGUGACCCGCAUCCGAUAUUUUCACCAUCCACCGGACGGCCGAGCUGUAGCAUUACCAUUUGUCAAAUUGGUGCUUUUGACCUUAGUUAACAAACAUCAUAUUCAUAUGUCGUCUGCUUAGUGUCUGAACUUAGACUUUGAGUACCAAAUGCUUCGUGCAUGCUGGCCUGCUGCCUGAAGAGACAAUGCAAAACUUGUCGGAUUUAUGCAUUUUGCGUCCGUAGCUGGGCUGCUGCAGAUACUGUUCAAUGUCCUGAUACCCCUCUCAGGCAAGAAAAUGGUUUUCCAAUGGAUUGGACUGAAGCCGCCUCAUUAUCUGAAAUCAGAAACGGCAGACCCUACAUGGAGGAGCAAAACUGGUCAUCAAUUACUCGUCCAUGCAUCAACAGAAAAUUGGUUUGCACUUUCACUCCUUGAAAAUUUGGAACUCAAAACUUGGCUUGGGGAUGAGGCGAUAUUUAGGGAGGAUUGAGUAAUUAAUUAAACAAGAAAAAAGAACUAAUUAGCCAUCCUUGCUAGAGAGAUCUGAAUCCUCCAGUCAUUAAGGACAGAACAGACCUGGUUAAUGAUCCUGCUCUAGAACUCAAUGCCAAGUCAAAGCCAAAUCCUCAAUAAACAAAAAGGAAAGAAACAAAUCAGGGUGGGUACAAGGAGUCAAGGACAGAGGACUUUGGUGCGAUUAGAGAGACAGAGACGACUAUACGCGUCUUUACAAAACUAGAUCGACCCAUCCAUCCUGACACAUGCCAAUGUCAUGCCCUCCAACAUAUUGCGGAUACAGUAAUCAACUGCUAAUAAGUGUUUCUAAAGAAGAACCUCUAAGCGAGGGUGAAUGAUUAGCCAUAGCGUGAGUCCCGGCGCUUGAACAUCCAGCAAAUAAGGCAGCCGCAUCCUUGUCGUCGCGGUCUGUCCUGCUGGCUAGGGAGAGAAGACGACGGCAGCGGCGACGGUGGUCCCUGCAUCAACUGAGACACAGCAGACGACAUGAUGAUGGCCGCGGCGGCAGCGCCGGCGGCUGCUGCCGCCCCAGCUCGUCACGAGGCAGCAGGCGGAGUGUAACACCCAAAAUUUUAGAGAAUUCAAAUUCAUUAAAAUUUGCUCAAAUUAGGGUGUCGCAUUUAAAUUCAUUUUCUUUAAUUUAAUUAAAUUCAUCAUAGGAGUUAAUUGUGCAUUCAUGCUGGUGCAUUUAUUUUGAUUGCUUGAGUUUGAAUCAAAUUUUGAAUUUCCAAAUUUAAAUUCAAUUUCCAACACCAUUUCCUUUUCCUUUUCCUUUUUUUCUUUUUCUUCCUCUCCUCCUGGGCCGCAUCUUCCUUUCCUUCCCUUCCCCUUUCUUCUUUCGGCCCAGCCGCACCAGCGCCAGCCGCUCGGCCCGCUCCACCUUUCCUUUCGCCGGCCCGUCGCUCCCACCUCCGCGGCCUGCCGCUUCACCUCCUCCCCUCGGCCUGCGAACGCGCGACGGCCCACGACGCUGCGCCGGCCCACCUAUCGCCCGCUACCGCCGACAGGUGGGGCCCGCCAUCAUCUCCCACCUUCGGCCGGACUCUCCUCCGUCCGCAACCACCGCGCGAGAUCUCCGGGUAGGCGCCGCCGUCCCCAACCGAUUUGAACCGGGGCCGCCUCUAUCUCCAAGCCACUCGCCCCUAUUUAAGCUGCCACCUCCCCCGGCCAAGAGCACCCGCGCCAGCACCCUCCAAACCCUAGCUGUCGCGAGCUCUUGCGCCGCCGCCACUCUCCGCCGCACGCCGCCGCCAAAAGGUGAGCGCCGCCGCGCCGUGGCUCCCACCAAGGCCCUAAACGGGUUCGCCGUGUUCCCCGCUCUCUUCUGGUGCAAUCCGCGCGCCAAACCGUGCCCCGGAGCGCCGUUUCGGCCAACUCCGUCGACCCGCCGCCGCUCGCCAUCGCGCGCCGCCGCUCGCCGCCGCCGGUCGUCUGUUUACCGCCGCCGCCGCGAGCCAUCGAUGAUCGCGUUGAAAAAAUAUUUACAGAUCUGCCCUUGCACUUUUCGGUUUAACCCUUGAACUUUCCAGAAAUCAACCCGCCGUCCGGAUUUGAGUUUUUGGCGCGUUAGACCUUCGGUUUAUACGCAUAAUUACGUAUAAGCCCUCGGUUUUCGCGGUUUGGUCCGAAAAGUUUUAUUUUUCUCACAGAAAAGCCCCUGGAUCUUGUUUUAAUCAUAUCUUUUGCGUCUUAACUCCGUUUUUCGCGUUCUUUAUAUCCACGUGUUCGUUUUAAAGCAUAGAUCAACUUUUCAAGCUUGUUUUCUCUGUUUAAUUGUGAUUGGUGUACUGUUUCUUACUUUUUGCCCAUGUUUGCUUGUAUGUGCUCGUGUGACGCGUGUAGACGUCCCGCAGUUCGAGGGAGUUGAAGAUCAAGCCUUCGAGGAGUACGAACAGCAGGAGCAAGGCCAAGAAGGCAAGUCGUGUCCUUGAUCACUACUUUUUCAUCCUAUACACCUUUACUUUCUCGUACUCAACAUUUAAGCUAUGCACAUGUUAAGAUUAAAUUGAUGGGUCCCAAUUAAGGUUCGCCUAGAUUGAUUUACCUUUGCCUUGACCAACCGGUUUACUUUAUGUUGGGUAGCUCAUGCUUAGUGCUUACUUGGUACAUGGUGGUUUAACUAAACACAAAGUUCAAUCUUGCUUGACUUCUGUUAUACCUUUCAUUAAUACAAGAUCAUUAUGGUUAAUCGGAACAUGGAGAACCACCCAGGAAAACAGUGCUACCACAAGACUAAAUGGCUCUGGUCUUGGCUGAUUAAUUAGAAACCUUAGUCUGGGGUGACCUUACUCGUGAUGAGGCAAGAGGGGGGACUGAGUCGUUGCAUUUUUGCCUGGGAUGGGUGGUGCACGCCAGACACCGAAACCUUAGCGGGUUACCACUGACUAAUGAAUCUUUGUAAAGGCCUCGUAGCGUCCCUAUGCAAUCACACCUCGGAAGUGUGGUAUGGUGCCUUGCAAACACCGCAUGGUUGGGUCCAAAGUUCUUUUGAACUUUUACGCGACUUGUGGGUAAAGAUGUGCCACCUCUGCAGAGUGUAAAACUGAUCGAUCAGCCAUGCUCAUGGUUAAGAGCGGCCUGGACCCUCACAUGAUAAUAUUAUCGGAAGAUGGAUUUAACUUGUUAUCAUUUCAUGCAUAUGUUGCUUACUUUAUUUAUGAUCAUGUUUAAUUUCGGGUGGUAUGAACUUAUACUUAGUUAAUUGCUAAUAAAACUUGACCAACUUAAUUAAAAGCGAAUGCUAAUUAUGCCUUAGCCAUACCUUGAUUUGCCUUACACUACACUAUUCCCCACGACUUGUUGAGUACCAAUCAUAAGGGUACCCACCCUUGCAAAACCGCUGUUCAGACCAAGCUAAUUGGGAAGAGGAGUAUCUACACAACUUUGAGGAGUUCUAGGCGUACGUUUCUUCAGUCAGCUGCCUGUGGAGUCGUCGUCGUCUUUGGAGUUCCGCUGCGUAAUAAUUAGACUUUGUGGUUUACUUGAGACUUUCAGUUAUGUAAUAAUGGUUAAUACUCUCUUUAUUCGAUUUAGCACUGUCUUUGUUAUUCACUAUUGUCGUACAUGUGUGUAACUUGAUCCUGGCGCACAUGUAUUUAAUGCACUCGAUUUUGUCCUUAAAAUCAGGUGUGACACGGAGCAGCGCGCAGCUCGACGAGGACAGGCGGACGGCGGCGCGGUCGAGCGAAGGGGCGCGUAAGCGCUCAAGAACAACGGCUGCUUAAUAUAUUGCUGGGCUUUUUCCAGAUUAAUUAAUACUGCGUUGAAUACAGAGAUGUACUUACUCUUACGAAAUCAUGCACUGGGCUUAUUUGGUUUCACUAAGGCAUACCUAAGACCAAUCAUUAUUUUCUUAACAUAUAUAUUUAUUUACACAAAAUUGAUAUUCUUAUAUUUGUGUUCAGAGAUACUCCUAUUUUUCUAUACUUAUAUGGACAAGUCUUGUACACAUGUCGAAGUGACUUAUGGGGUGGUUUUUGCAAUUUACCUUAUCAAUAAGCAUGGACUCGUACCGAAUGCAUAUGAACUAGAAUUUGGAUAGCGCUAUUUGAAUUAAAUACAAAAUGGAUAGUUCAAAUUCGGAUUCUCGGAUACCUACUCAAUUUGGAAGAUAACAACUAUAAGUACAUUGUGCUAUGGUAAAAAAUGCAACUAAACUUAAUAAUAAACAUCGAACUAGAAUUUGGAUAGCGCUAUUUGAAUUAAAUACAAAAUGGAUAGUUCAAAUUCGGAUUCUCGGAUACCUACUCAAUUUGGAAGAUAACAACUAUAAGUACAUUGUGCUAUGGUAAAAAAUGCAACUAAACUUAAUAAUAAACAUCGUGCUAUGGUAACAAAUGCAAUUCAACUUAAUAGGCAAACUCAAAAGUUUGUGAAGACAUCUCCUAUAUAUGUAAAAAAAUUGCAAUGUUAGACGAUCCGGGCGGUCUCCAACCCAUGUCCAGCAGUAGAGAGGAUUUGGACCUCUAAACAUUCAUAUGUUGAUUCCUCCGAUCAACAUUACCAAAGACAUGUCCCUGGUUCUUUUUUCAGACAUAUAGGUGGUGUACUAUUUAUUGAAUCACAUGAAUGGUGAAAUCUUCAGUACACAUUAGAUCCAGAUUAAUGAAGAUGGAGCAAAUGCACACCAACCUCACAUUCCUGGCAUUACAUGUUCCCCUUAUACUACCUCCAUUCUUAAAUAGAUGACACCAUUGACUUUUUUUAUUUGUUUGACCAUUCGUCUUUUCUACAAAUAUUUUUGCAAAUAGACAAAAUUAAAAGUUAAAUCUAAAUUAUAUUUGACCAUAGACAUAAUGAUACACAUUUUAUUUUAGUUAACUAACUCGUUCAAUAGAUAUUGAUGGUCAAAGUUGAAAUAAAAUGUCAACAGCGUCAUCUAUUUAAGAACGGAGGGAGUAUAUAAAAGGGCAUAUAGCCUUGCCUCCUACCCUAGCACAUUAUGAGUUCAGUUGAUGUAGCUGCUCUCCUUUCCUUCUUCCUAUUAUCAACCCGUGCAAGCCCCGAGACAAAAUGCACCCAAGGAGUAAGUGGACUUGAUCGACGUGCGUCUGCAACUCUGCAUGAUGCCCAUCUUGUUUCGCUAGGAGUAGGAGGGAUUGGGAAUUGCAUCCAUUGUGGCGUAAGUUAUCCAUGCAGCUGAUGACGACCUCAAGCGUGCUCUGGAAUUGUUGAUGAUUGAUACAUGGCUCACGGCCUGCAUCUGGCCCAGCAGCCCAUGAAUUAAUUGGGUGCCCUGACACGCGGUGAGUUCUCAGCAUCACCACGAUGGCGCAAGAAUGGUGUUAGAAUGGUUGUAGUACAUUAAAUCUCAUGUAAAAAAGCGGCUGCGGGUACUCUUAAGUUUAUAACUCCUCAUAUUCUCAUAGUUCUAUAGACUGAUAACAUCAGAGACAUCUUCAGUUCAUACACUGUUUCAUGCACAAAACCAAAGUUCAAGAAAACACAUGAAAACCAUUGAGAUGGAUAUCACAAGUACCUAGGAUGAGAGUAUGGGGAGGAAGAGGACUGGGGAGAGAAGAGAAUUAUGAUUGGAUGAGUAUAGUUUGUAGCAACAAUUAUACGCUAUGCAGUGGGAGCUGUAGUUUCUGGUGGUGCCUAUAUGACAUGGCAUGUCAAGGACACUAAUAUGUAGUGCUUUGGUUGGAACUGCAUAUUAGAAGUUUGACUUAUAUUUCAGGUGUUUAGUGUACUUAUUAUCUGAUCGGUUAGGUUCCCCGUACAGACUCUCCACUGUUAUGGGUUUGCUUAAUGCAGAGCAAGUGCAAAAGUGAACCCACCUACCAAUAUUUGUUGAACCAGUGCCUUCUUACAAAAGCGGAGCGCUUACUCUUACAGUAUCUGGUCACUCGUCUUCUUUCAUCAACCUCCUCUUCUAUAACUUUCACCCAUUCUUAGUCCAGCUGAAAACGAAAAACAACACUUGAUGCGAGUGAAUUCAGGCAGAAGACAUACAAAUUGCAGUGAGAAAUUUCCAGUGGGAUUCUAAAGUAUGAAGUCAUAAGUUGAAAUCAGAAUAGGAAGCAUCUGGAAAUACAUCCAUAAUGCAUCCAUACCAGUUUUGACUGGCAGGUAACUCAUGAAAACCAUGUUAUGACGACGGUGCAUGAAGGAUGCAUGGGUACAAGUACACAGUGUGUCAAAUCAUCAUGCUCUCACAACCACCGCGACAAGCUAGAUCUCCGGAUCGGCUAGGUAUGGGCACGAAAUGUGUGCUGUGAUUCUUUUUGCUAGGACACUCCGUAUUACCAUCUCUCAGCCUUUGAUUUAUAUGGGAGAAAAAGUAAUUAAAGGAAAAGGUGAAGUGCAGCUAUUUAUCCUCGAAUCACGUACGCUAACUAAUGGUCGCGCUUCUUUUGAUUAGUUUCACAGUCAUAGUUUUUCGUUUUUUUCUCUUACCUCUCCGUAUAUUUGGAUACUCUGUUUUUUCUUUUCCCUCAGCUCCCUCUCCUCGAGAUGGAUCAUAAAAUUAGUAAACUUGCCGACCUCGUAUUAUAUUCAAUAGCAUAUUGAGAAUUGAGAUGGAGCAAAGUUGAACAAGUGUGCUCUGUGUGGUCACUUGAUGAUCGUUAUCCUUAUGUGUAGGGACACCGUAAUACAUAUGCAUAAAUCAAAAAGAAUUGUUAAUUACAUCCCACAUGUUUGUGGUGCAGUGCCAUCUUUCAAAUCCUGUAUGUACACGGCUUAAAAAGAAUGGUGAAAUCUUUGUUUCAAUAAGAUCUAGAUUACUCAAGAUAAGAGCAAAUGCACCGCAUUAACACACCAACCUCACAUUCUUGACCAUUACACGUUCCCGUUAUAUAAAAGGACACAUAACCAUGCCUCCUACCCUAGUACAAUAUCUGACCAGCAGUUGAUGUAGCUGCUCUCCUUUUCUUCUUCCUAUUAUCAAUCCCUGCAAGCUGCCAGACAAAAUGCACACAAGGAGCAAGGAGGUGGACUUGAACGUGCGUCUGCAUGAUGUCCACCUUGUUGCGCUAGUAGGAGUAGGAGGGAUUGGGAAUGGCAUCUAUUGUGGCGCAAGUUAUCCAUGGAGCUGAUGAUGACCUCGAGCGUGCUCCGGAACUGCUGAUGGGUCACGGCCUGCAUCUGGCCCAGCAGCCAAGGAAUUAAUUGGGUGACGUGGUGAGUUCAGCAUCACCACGAUGGGUCCAAGAGCAAGACCGGCGGUGUCGAUGCGUUGUACCGCGGGUUUGAUUUCCCACACGCGCGGAGUCUUUACGAGCUCCAACCUGAUGGGCCAUAACAUGAUGAACUUCGCUGUCCAGCGAUCAUCAUCAUCAAAGGCGAGCAGUGGGCGAAGAUGUUGGUAACCUGCCCAAGGGAAAUCAUACACAAUUUGGAUUAAAAAUCCAGUGGAUGCUGAUCCACGAGGGUUUAGGUACAACGUGUAAACUCACUAACAUACUCUAAAAAUUUAUGGAGUGUGGCUAAGGCAAAGUUAUUCCACUAUGCUAGAAAUUCUAGCUACUACCUCCACUCAGCCUAUCCAGCCGGGAACUCGAUGCUAGUGCACCGGUCCAAGGCUUUCCAUUCCCUAAUGUCCGGACUCCAUGGAGGAACUGCUGUGCUGGAACAAGAACGAUGUCAUAUCGCGAUCGAAUACUUCCUCAAUAUUGACACACAUUUACGUUGGACUGGCCUAAUAAAAACACUAUGGUAGGGUUGUGAUAAUGCUGCGCCAUAGAUUAUUAUCACUUCUUCUCGUUUUCUUUAUGCUUUUGACGUUUUAUAAAAACUCAAGCACAAGAAGACUUCUAUGAACCUAAGCCGGGUCAGGAGUUUCAACGACUCCUGGAGUUCAACGUUAGAAAUUUGAAACUGGUACUAAUGAGUAACCUUUAUUACCAGUUGGAAAUUUAGAACCUUUAGUACCUUUAGAAAUUUGGAACCGGUACUAAUGGAGUUCAACAUUUGGAACCCGGUACUAAUGGGUGACCUUUAGUACCGGUUGGAGCCCCCAACUGGUACUAACUUCCCUCCUAUAAAUCAGGCGUCUUCUUCCUCCUAUUCGAGCCAUUUCCUCCAGCUCGGGCUUCAUCCAUUCAUGGCGAAAUAGGGGAGGUGCUAUCGGAUUUUUUACCAUUUCGUGGGGAUUUCACUUAUUCAAGUGUUCUAAAGGUUAGAAACUUCACCCUCCCUUGAUACAUGGCUAGUAUACUAAGUUUUAUGCUUUAGAGCUAGAGUAAUUUGUGAUUUUUAGAAUAAGGUACAAUGAAGAAAUUUUUCAUUUAUAUGCAUGUGUUAUUUAGAGCUCAUAUUUUUUAUUUUUAUAAUAAUCUACAAUUUUUUGGAUGCUAUGUCUCAUAUUAGUCAAAGAAAUUGAUAUGGGGCUAGAGAAAUAAUUUCAUAGUUUAGUCCUUUACAAAUAUGAGCUAAAUAAAUUAUGGAGAAAAAUAUAAUUUGCUCAUAUUUUAGUCAUUUGCAAAUAUGAGCGAGAUAAAUUGUGGUACAUAGAGAUAAUAAGGUGAAAUAGAGGUAUGUAAUUAGUUAUUUUUAGAAUAAGCUACAAUGGAGAAAUUUUUCAUUUAUAUGUUAUGUUUGAGCUAAAUAAAUUGUGGAGGAAAAUAUAAUUUGUUCAUAGUUUAGUCAUUUGCAAAUAUGAGCUAAAUAAAUUGUGGUACAUAGAGAUGGCUAUUCUACAACUUAAUUUCAUACACAAAUAACAUGCAAAUUGGCCAGACUUCUGUAAAAAAAUAGUCAUAGAUAAAGUACACAUGAAUGCUGAUAUCUUUUAUAAUUAUAACUAAUAUAGUAGAGAGAAGGGUCCAUCACCCAUGAGUUGUGUUGAGAUGGACCAUGCACCAGUACCAGGGAACGUGUGUACAAAUGGAGCCGCAGAUGUCAUGUGGUGCCGUCAACAAGCCUGAGGACAUCGUUAGAAACAAUAGGCUUCUUUGCUGCUGGUCCCAUUCUGUGUAUCACAAGCUUAGAUAUGUAUGACAAAUGUCUUCUCUAAACUGUACCGUUUUUUUUUUGUCUACGUGGCCCAUAUCGUAAGGUCAAUUUUUUGGUCUAUGUGGCCCAUAUCGUAAGGUUUUUUUUGUCUACUUCUACCCUUCUCUUUUCCAGAUAAAGGACCUUCUCUAGAUGGAUAAAAAGGACGACCACUGGUUGAAUUCAAGUACAUUAUGAAUGUUUCAGAGUUUGUAAUCAAAGAUAGUUUAGUAAAAAAAUAAUAAUUGCACUUGACCCACAAACAUUAAUUCUUUUGAUCCUAUUUUGAAGAUUGCCCGUGCAAAAGGACACCGACUGCCUAGCUUUCAAUCAUAUCUCAGUAACCAAAUUAAAUGAUUGAUAAUGUGUCCUUAAGGGUACAAAAUUGUAGUAGCUGUUCUAUUCUUCUUGGUCCAUAGUAUCCUUUAUUUAUACAUAGAAACUAGAAUCCUCAAACCAAUUAAAAUGUACCGAAUAACAAAAGCAUGCUUGAUCUGAACUUGGACGCAUGAUGUGGCCUAGUAUUGGAAUAGGAGGCAUCUAGAAGCACAUCACUUGGUGGUGUCGCUAUCGCACCACUCCAUUCCGUUAUGGAGCUAGCCAAAUAAGAGGUAGAUGCAGUUGCUAUACGGCAGAUCGGUGCUCUUUCUUUCACCGGUGCUCGCAGCAGUGAAAUAUUCAGUAUCUUUUUGUCAUGUGUGUUGAUCUCAGCUGCUCAUGUGCUUUAAUUUUGGCGUUGUCAAACCAACACAGAGGAUGAGAUUAUUGUUGUCACUGACUGGAGUGACUUCCAGAUUUGUUGGCAAAUCUCGACGUAAUAAACAGGCCACCUAUAGAGAAGACCUACCCACCAGUUGUACCAUCUAUCUAUCUUUGCCUGCUUAUCGUGUGGCUAACUAAAAUUUGAUAAUACAGAAGACUCAUAGCAGUUCAACACAGGAGAUCAUGGACAAUCAAAUUAGAGAUCAAUUAUAAUAUGUGCACACACACCAAGUUGUCAACAUCGAACAAGAACAUAUGAUGUAGAAGUUGCUCCCACCGUAGGCCAGUUGUAACUAUCUAGAAGCAGGUACUUGCAUUGCAUAAACUGAUCGAGUGGACGCUGCCACUGUCAUUCGACGAGGCAUCUUUUCUCCGUCUACCCUUUUAUUUUUGUUUCAGUUACUUGAGGAGCACCAUUGUUGCAUCCACACGACCACACCCUCACCGCCUAUCCGUCGCGUGGUUCAUGUGGUAAAUACUGUAUUCUUGCAUGUUGUUACUUCUCUGUACCUUCGCACAAUAUUUUUUAUUAUGUUCAUGACUACUGAUAAAUCCUCUUACGUUAUUGAUACUCCAUUUUCUGCCAAGCUCUGUGAUGAGAACAAGAUGAAAAUUCCAUGGAUGAAGAAGUUGUUGUGGUGGCAUGUUUUUCUUUAAUUUAAAAAAGCUGCCUUAGAAAAAGAUUAUCUCUGGAUUUUCACUAUCAUUUGGAUGCCAUAUAAUUCUUCUAAGUCUUUCCUUUUCUUCUCAUUUUGAUGGCUUUGUAAUUCAUCCUUGGGACCUAUAAAACACCUACUAAGGUACAUCUUGAAAAUACAUUAGCCCCAAUGACCAUGUUGUCAUUAAUCACCAAAAUCACUAUGGCCUAGGGACAUUUUCCUUACAAUAUCUACCGUACCUUUUAGCAGAACAGAGCGUUAUAUCCAAACCAGUGCAGAGUAUUAUUUGGACCUAAAAAUUCCUACAUUGGUUCCUCUUGGUAACAUUUGGAAAGACAUGCCUCUGCUUCUUAGUCAUAUAAAAUGACAUGAAUGGUGAAAUCCUUUCUACCAAAAGCUCACGAUACAAUAACCAUCAAGGUUAAUUAAGAUCAAGAAAAUGCACCACCAACCUCAUGGUUGUAACAUUACACUUUCCUCUAAUAUAAAAGGGAGGAUAACCAUGCCUCCUACAUAUCCUAGCUCAAUAUUCGACCAGUUGAUGUAGCUGCUCUCAUUGGACGUGUGUGUGCAUGAUGCAGAGUGCCUUGCGCUAGGAAUAGGAGGGAUUGGGAAUUGAAUCCAAAGUGCUUCCGAUAGAUUGUCCAUAUGGCUGUUGUCCUCGUGGGUGCACUAGUUUUGCUGGUGAUGGAUUCAUGGGACACGGCUUGCAUCUGGUCUAGUGGCCCACAAAUUAAUGUGAUUUUGGGUGAGUUCAACAUCAGUUUUCUGGCCCUGGGAACUGGAUGGGCGGUGUCACAGCGUUGUACGAAUCUGUUCAAGGUCAAGCACCAGCGGGGUAUCGCAAAGUACCCAUGGAACCUUUCCAAGCUCCAACCAGAUGGGCGCCCACUUGAUGACCUUCCUCUCAAUAGCGAUGGAACGGAUGAAGUUAAGUGGGGGAAGAAACGUGAGUCUUUUCCUGUGUCAUCAAAUAGUCCAAUCACUCACAUAUUUGCAGCUAGGGUUCCAUGAUAUGGAAAUUAGAGGGAAGCAAAUAGUAACCUCUGGUGGUUACUACUCCACAUGAGCAGGUGUAGUAGAUGAAAAAUCCUAAGUAAUCUUACCAUUUGAUAUAAGGAAACAAAGGGCUAAUAUCCAUCUAAGGGCAUAAAGAGUCACAAGAAAAUGUACUUUUAUAUCCCAUUGAUGCAAGUUUCACCCACAAAAGAAAAAACUUUCACCCAGAACACAUUGUGUACCAUGCACCAGGACCAGGGUAAAUGUGUGCACUUGGAGCUACAGAUAUGAUGCUGUCAACAAGCCUAAGGACACCGUUGGAAGCAAUAGGUUUCUUGUUUGGUCCCCUUCUAUGUAUCACAAGCUAAGAUAUGUAUGACAAAUGUAUGUCUUCUCUAAAUUGUACAGUUUUUGGCCCACGUGGCCAUAUCGUAAGGUCCUAUUUCUACCCUCUGCUUCUCGCAGAUAAAGGGACCUUUUCUAGAUGGAUGGAUGGAUAGAAAGGACCACUGCUUGAAGUACAUUAUGAAUGUUCCGGAUUUUGUAAGAAAAGAUGGUUUAGUAAGAAAGAAUAACUGCACUUCACUCACAAGCAUCAAUUCUUCGAUCCUAUGUUGAAGAUUACCCAUGCAAAAGAACACCGAAUGCCCAGCUUUCAAUCAUAUCUCAGUAACCAAAUUAAAUUAUUGAUAAUGUGUCCUUUAAGGGUACAAAAUUGUUGUACAUGUUCUUCUUGGUUAGUAUCCUUUAUAUAUACAUACAAACUAGAAUCCUCAAACCAAUUAAAAUGUACCGAAUAACAAAAGCAUGCAUGAUCUUAACUUGGACGCUUGAUCUGGCCUAGUAUUGGAAUAGGGGGCAUCAAGAAGCACAUCACUUGGUGGUGUCGCUACUGCAGCACUCAAUUCCGUGAUGGAGAUAGCCAAACAAGAGGUGGAUGCAGUUGCUAUAUGGCAAAUCAGUGCUCUUUCUGUUACCGGUGCUUGUAGCAGUGAAACAUUCGGUAUCCUUUUGUCAUGUGUGCUGAUCUCAGCUGCUCAUGUGCUUUUGGUGUUACCAGACCAACAUAGAGGAUGAGAUUUUUUUUUUAACUGAACCGCAGGGGAGGCCCCUACUGAAUUUUUCUAUUUAUAUGUAUAAAAGUAUUUACAUUUGUUGGACAGCAAGUCCAAAAAGGAAAAAAGGAAGACAAGCACUAUCUGAGAUUACAUAACCAAGUGUCUAGCUCCAACUUCAAGGAUGGCUUGGCUCUAUGCAGCACAAGCGAGAGUUCAUCCUUGAAGAUAAAUUUCCAUCUCUGCAAAGAGAUAGGAACACCAUCAAAAAUGACUUCAUUUCUAUGCUUCUAGAUAGCCCAACAGGCCACAAUAAGGAUCCCUCUGAAUAUCUUUGAACCAAAAUCUCUUCGAGCUUCAACAAUCCUCUCAAGGCAUGGGAGGUUGAGGUUCCACUGAACAUGAAUCAGACGCCAGCACCAUUGACUAAAAGAGCAUGUAAAAAUUAGGUGAUUAGAUGUCUCCUCCACUCCAGAGUUACAUAGGGCACAGCUGUAAUCAUCGAGUGUUCUACGUUUUUUGCGAAGAAUGUUCCUCGUGUUAAGUCUGUCCCUCAAGAACAGCCAAAAGGUGAAUUUGUGCUACCUCUACUACAGGAUUUCCACAUCCACAUAAAAACUGGGCUAGUUUCAGCAUGACCUGCAAGUUGCUUGUAGGCUUUACUGGAACUGUAUGAACUAUUUCCCCAGAUAUAAGUCCAUUCAUCCUCAAUGUUGUUGUCCACAGUCACACCAUUUACCAAAUUACUGAGUGUCACUAGUUGAUCAGCUGUAGUUGGUGAAAUGGGUGUAAAGAAAUUCCUGUAAGCAUCCUGAGUAAGGAACUUCCUGACUGAGAAGAGCUGAGAAAACUGCCAUUGCAGGACACCCAGGUCCCAAAGAUCUAUCCAAAAACACAUUGUGUUACCCUUGCUAACUUUGCAGGAUGCAAUCAUAAGAUAGCUGUCAGAUAGUGACAACUACAUCAUGCCACCAGAAGGAGCCUGUUGGCCUUUUUAUAUGAGGAACAACCUGUCCUGAAUAUAGACACUUCCAGGUGAGCUUGACCCAUGGGAUGUCUUCAUGAUUGUAAAAUUUAUGCAAAAAUUUCAGCAGUAGAGAGGUGUUCUGGGUUCUCAAAUCAAUUAUGCCUAGUCCCCCUUGGCUCUUUGCCUUGCAGGCAUUUUUCCAAGCUACUAAGCAACCUCCCUUCAUGUUAGUGUCUCCUCUAUCCCAUAAACAGUGCUUUCUAUAAAUGUCAAUUUGAUUGAUCACCCCAGCUGGCAUUUUUAGAGUACAGAGAUAGAAUGUGGGAAGGGUAAAAAGAACUGAAUUGACUAGGAUCAGUCUCCUAGCGUAUGUCAGGCAAGAGCUGAUUCCCAUCAUCCUUCUUUCAAUUCUAUUCAACAAAGGCAUGUAUUCAUCCACUGCUAGCCUAGCUGUUCCAAGAGGUAGCCCUAGAUAUGUGAAAGGCAUACCUCCCACCUGACAUCCAAAAGAAUUUGCCAAGGCUGCUGUCUUAACUUCAACAUUUAUGGGGACAAGAGAAGAUUUGGAGAAAUUAACCUUGAGACCUGUAGAGGUGGCAAAAGUGUCAAGAAACUGCUUCAAGCUAAGAAGUUGUUGAUCAUCAACAGGCAUUUUGAGCAAUGUAUCAUCAGCAUAUUGAACUAUGAGGUAAUCGCCUUCAAAAGAGUCACCUAAAGGAUGCUUAAGAAUGCUCUGUUGGGCUGUAUUAUUGAUAACUGACUGCAAAAGGUCAGCUACCAAGACAAAUAGAAGAGGUGACAGGGGAUCUCCCUCUCUUGCACUUAAAAGGUUUCUGUAACACCAUUGAGCAGUACUGAAGUGCUAGAGCUAAGAAUCAUCUGAAUCCACUAAAUUCAUCUUUCAGAGAAGCCCUUGUGUUUGAACAUAUCCAAGGUAACAAGAUGCUCAGUCUUGUCAAAUGCCUUCUCAAAAUCCAAUUUAAGAAUUAUUAUCUCCCUUUUGCUUUGGUGACAGAUAUGUAAAAACUGAAAGGCCCAAGCAAGGCAAUCCUGAAUAGUUCAGUCAUUCAGAAAUCCAUAUCAGUUAGCAUGAACAAUGGACAGAAUAACCCUCUGUAGCUUGUUAGCCAAAAUCUUUGUGAUUAGUUUUAGGGAAUAAUUGAGGAGGAAGAUAGGCCUGUAAUCAUUCACAGUUUGGGGACAAUCUAUCUUUGGUAUUAACGUGAUGAAAGAAUUGUUGAUGCAUUCCAGGUCAAUAGAGGAUGAGAUUAUUGUCACUGACUGGAGUGACUUCCAGAUUUGUUGGCAAAUCUCGACGUAAUAACCAGGCCACCUACAGAGAGACUCAUAGCAGUUCAACACAAGAGAUCAUGGACAAUCAAAUUAGAGAUUAAUUAUAUUAUGUGCACACACCAAGUUGUGUCAACAUCAAACAACAAGAUAUUAUGUAGAAAUUGUUCCAUCGUAGACCAGUUGUAACUAUUCUAGAAGCAGGUACUUGCAUUGCAUAAACUGAUCAAGUGGACGCUGCCACUGUCAUUCUGCGAGGCAUCUUUUCUCCGUUUACCUUUCUAAUUUUAUUUCAGUUACUUGAGGAGCCCCACUAUUGCAUCCACACCCUCACCGCUUAUCCAUCGUGUGGUUCAUGUGGUAAAUAUUGUAUUCUUGCAUGUUGUUACUUCUCUGUACCUUCGCACAAUACUUUAUAUUAUGUUCCUGACUACUGAUAAAUCAUCUUACAUUAUCGAUACUCCAUUUUCUGCCGAGCUCUAUGAUGAGAAUAAGAUGAAAAUUUCAUGGAUGAAGAUGUUGUUGUGGUGGCAUGUUUUACUUUAAUUUGAUCUACCGAGCUCUGUGUUUCCAAGUUACAAGGUAAAUACAGAAGCAGCUUUGUGUUUUGUACAAAUUUCUUGACUUUGGUUAAUUAGCAAAGCAUCAUAUGUCGACUGCUUAGAAUCUGAACUUUGACAUUGAGUACCAAAUGCUUCUUGCAUGCUCUUGUGGCCUGCUGCCUGAAAGACAAGACUUGUCAGUUUUGUGCAUCUUUUGAAAGUAGCUAGGCUGCUGCAAAUUCUACUCAAUGUUCUGCUAUAUACACCUCCAUCCAUAAAUAUAUGAUGUUUAAGAUAAGCUAGUUAGAUGAACUAACUCAUCAUAAACGUCAUAUAUUUAUGGACGGAGGUAGUAUUCCUUUAAGGCAAGCAAAUGGUAGUUGAAUCGAUUGGGUCUGAAGGAUAGCGAAAUAUGUUUUGAUCGAGAACUACCUCGGCAGAAUUAUAAAGUGUAAUUUGCACUUUCACUCCAAAUUUAGGAACUCAAAACUAUGGUUGAGCUGAUCUUUAGGGGGAAUUUUUAGUAAUAAGGUCUGAAACGAUGUUCUUGUCUCGAUCAAACAAAGAAAAAGAAAACAAAUAGCAAUUCUUUAGUCCUUACUGGAGAGACCUGAAUCCCGUCAUCAAGAACAGAACAGACCUGAUUUAUGAUCCUACGCCACCUGCGCUACAAUGGCCCAUCUAAUUUACAGGCAACCGGACGGAGGCCUCCAUCCGGUCAAUCCCAAUACGCGAGCUCAUGUAGAUACAGAUUUUCCCGUGGUCCCCUCCCCCAUCCACCCAGCAACCACCAAUCCCCCCAGCCAACUGCACCCGACCAGCACAAAAAAAAUUAAAAAAAACUUUGUUAACAUAUUUGGAAUAAAAAUAUUUUGGAAGAAAUUUUUUACUAAAUAAAACAUAAAAAUUUGAAACAGAAAGUUUUCGACCAAAAUUUUUAAAAAAAUGUACACAAAAUUGGAAACGAUCCAGAAACAAAAGUUUUUGAAACAAAAAUCGAGAAAGAAAAAAUCAAAACAAAAAAUACUUGAAACACAAAAGUUUGGAGCAAAGAACUUGGAACAAACUUUAGAAAAAAUUAUACAUAAAAAUUUUGAACAAAAUCAGGAACAAAAAUUUUUGUGGAAAAAAUAGUUUGCCGCGUCGCUGAGCGCAGCCCGCCUCUAAGCUCCUAGUCGCGCCGGCCGACGGAGUUCGUCGCGUCAUUCCGCCUAUCCGGCUGGCGUAGCUCGCCGAACCCCGCCGCGCCUGGCGCCUGGCCACGCCGCUGCACUCUCCGCCGUGCUUGCCGCCGGGCCUUGCCGCGCCAACUCGCCGAUCCGGCCGGACCACGCCACCUCGCUCCCUACGAGCUAUCCGCCACCGUCGACUCGCAGAUCUGGCUGAGCCUCGCCGCUUUGCUCACCGCGAGCUACAAGCUAGGCUCCGCUUGCACCUCGCCGCUUGCCCAUGGGAGGCCACGCGCGGGAGCUCCCCACUGCUCGCCGGAGACCGCGAGCCCCAUCCCCACGCCCGCACAUGCUGCUCGCCUCGCCCGCCGUCGCGCCUGCUCGCUCCGUCCUACCGCUCAGGGGCUCGCUGAGGCCACUGGGGAUGUCGCCCCCUCCGCUGGAUCCGAGGUAGAAAGAGAGCGGGUGCGUGGACCCGCGUGAAGCCACCACUGCCUCUCGAGUUCGUGAGUGCCUGCGCCGGAGGACGCUGCUCCUGGAGCCAACCAUUAACGCCGCACCUUGCCGGGAUCUGAAGGAGACCUGAGGAAGAAAAGGAAAACGGAGAAAGAGAGCGAGAAGGAACUGGAAAGAGAUAAAACGACAGGGAUGGAUUUCGGUAGUGAGGAUAACACACAUUUAGGCCCCUUUGGCAAGGUUUCUUGAGCGGCUUCUCCAUCAGCUUCUCAUGAAGCCCUGCCAAACAGGUGCUCACAAAACGGCUUCGCAGGAGAAGCCCUGCGAUUCCUGAGAGGAGCCAUUAGAGGGAGGAGAAGCUCAAAAUACUAGCUCCCCACGGCUUCAUCUCCACCGUGGGGGGCCAAAGUCCCAGCUUGCCCCUGCUGCCAUCGCCAAAGUCCCCAUCUUGUGCGAGGAGACCGGAGGACGCCGUCGAUGCAGGCGCGGGGAGGCCGGACGGCGGCACGGACGUGGGGUUGGAGCGGCGAGGGCACGGUGGGCCAGAAGGUGGUGAUGGCGCAGCUGCGGGAGACCAGAUGGCAGCGGCGGCGUGGACGCGGGGGGCUGGAAGGUGGCGACGGUGCCGAUGCUAGGGUCGGAGGAUGGCGGUAGGGCGGGAGCGUGGGGUCGAGGAUGGCGGCGGCUGGUAGGAGGCGGAGGAUAGCGUCGGGGCUAGCAGGCAGGAAGGUGAUGGGUGAAUGGAUAAGAAAGAGAGAGGAAGGGAGGAUAGGGGAAAGAAUAGGAAGAGAAGAGAAAAGGAGAAAUAAAAAAAGAAAAGAAGAGGGAAGGGGAAAUAAAGAGUUGAGAAAAAAAGAGGAGAAUAUAGAAAAAUGAAAAAGAAAAAUAAGAAGGAUAAGGGCGUUACAGACAUUUCAUCUUUUUUAUCUAUGUUACACAGCUAGAAGAAAUUGUUUUACUGAAUAUUUUUCUAACCACACAAGCCCGAGAAAAAAAAUUGCUUCAUCGAAAAAGUUACAUCCACCGUUGUUUUAGCUACAGCCGCGUCCCUCCCACGAGCCCUCGUUAUGGUGGGAUCGUCGAGUGAGAGGCACAGGCACUGUGGAAUCGACCGUACGGUCGUAUGCUCCCAGUCGAGGUGUAAAAUUAGCAUUGGGGCGCUACAACUCGAUGCUAAGCCAAAACCAAAAUCAUCGAUCAUUGCAACAAACAAAAAGGAAACAGAUAAACCAAAAGCGGGUACAAGGACAGAGGACUUUUGUGAGAUUAAAAGAGACAGAGACGACUAUCCACGCCUUUACAGAACUAGAUAGACCCAUCCUUGCCAUGCCCUUGAACAUACUCGCCGGUUACAGUAACUGCAUCUAAAGGGAAAACUUCAAAGCGGCUAGGUGAGAGCGGAUGAUUAGCCAUAGCGUCAUCCCCGGCGCUUGAACACCAAGCAAAGCAAGCAGUCGCAUCCAUGUGGUCGCGGUGUGUCCUGGAUAGGGGGAGGCGGCGGCGGCGGCGACAGUGGUCGCUGCGUCGGGCCGGACAAAACAGAUGACAUUAUGAUGAACGCGGCGGCAGCCGACAUCGUCGCGAGGCGCGGAGCGGCGUGCAGCUCAACGAGGAUGGCCGGACGAGCGGGCGGCGGCAUGGUCGAGCCGAGCCAAGGGUGCGAUAGUAGAGCGCGGCGAGGACGAGGCGACGAGCGCGUAUGAACAACAUUCGACGGCUUAAUUUAUUGCGGGCUCGAUCUCCAGAUGAUACUAGUAGAGUUAGGGUUUAUUUAGUUUGACUUCUAAAGUGUUGUGGCUGCCGCAAAAAGUAGAAAGCUAACAAAAGCGUGCGCUCCUAGCGCGGUACUUCAACAAAAAGCAGCUUCGUGCGACGUUGUAUUCCCACAACACCUCUUACCCGGCUUUCAACGACUGCGAAGGAUUGGUUUUACACUAAAUUACCCACCUGCCACUCUUUACAACGGUUCAAUAUUUUCCAUCGCUCUUCUCUCUUUCUCUGGUAAAGAACCAUCGGUCUCCUCUAUCCUAGCGCACGGGUCGGCAGCGGCGCUUCCUACUUCAUCAUCGACGACGGCGGCCACUCCUUCCCGGCAAGAGCGCAUCCCUCCCUCUCUUCCUCCCUUAGGACCGCCUGCCCUUUCUUUGUCAUAGCAGGCCGCCACCGCCCUGUCCGUCGCAGAUGAGAGUCCAGAUGGGGACAAUGAGGAUACGACGAAUACUAUUCAUAGUAGAAUAGCUGAUGCUUUGGUUAGGACGAGUGGGAGAUAAUUAUGUGGACCAUAUGUUAAUGGUGGACAUUUAUAUGAACCAUAUAUCUUUUGUAAAAUGUUAUCUUUGCAUUCAUGUGGACAAUAUGGUAAUGGUGGCUGCAAAAUUUAAAAAAAAUAAAUUUCGCUUUCUAAAAUGGUAAUUUACGUGUGAUUAAGUGAACAACACAGUGUUUUACGAUCAAUUUGCAUAUUAACAGUCCCUCAUACCUUCCAAGGGUAUUACAGACCUUUCUUGCCAAACCUACAGCCUCACAGCUGUUUCAAUCAAACAGCUUUCGGCUUUCUCACAUCUGACAGCCCACAGCAGUUUUUCCACAACUCACAGCCCACAACAACUUUUUCACAGCUCACAGUCCAACCAAACGAACCCUUAGAACACCGUAACCGACGUGUAGAUGGAAUCGUAUCAGGAUCGACGUGUAGAUACAGAGAGAUGUACUCGAUCGGCGCUCUCGGUGUCAUCGCCCUCGUCGUAAGAGCAGCAACAUCAGCAAUGGCGUGGCGGAGGAGAUGGUCAGCACCAGCUUCCCCUGUUCGACAGCAUCGGGUGCAGAAGCCCCGGCGCCGGCGAUGGAAGAUUCUUCCCCUACGACCUAGGGUGUGUAACUGUGUACUGUGUAGUGCUCUCGGCCGACGAGCGCGGCGACGAGAGCGCGGCGACGAGAGCACGGACUGAUAACAACGGUGGUGUUCAAGGAACAGACGCACGCCACGGACUGCAAGUCGGAACGAUAACAACGAUGCAGCCAUCCACGAGCCGCGCCCGCCACUCGUCCCCGAACGGCCGCCCCCGGCUGCGGCGGCCGGUCAAACGACGCCGCCGUGGGGCAAAUCCGUCCAACAACCACCCCGCAGUCCUCCCUCCGUACCGCCACGCGUCCGCCUAGCGUCUCCGCGCGUGUGGCGGGCCCCCCCACUUCCUCUGCCGGGUCCCCCCUCUCUGAUCUCUCCGCACUCUGCACCUCGCCGCGUCGCCGUGCCGGUGCCGGCCGGCUGCCAUGAGGAAGCCGACGAGGCGCUCGAGCUUGGUCAAAGGGAGCGGGUGGCAGGACGCCCGCCGCGCUGCUGGCGAAGCAGGGGCAGCAGGUGCUGGGCCACGGCGGCGGCGUCGACGCGUUCGACCGGCUCCCCGACGACCUCGUGCUCGCCGGGGACGCGCCGCGCGCCGCGAGCCCCGCCGACCUCGCCGCGGCCGCGCUGACGUGAGCACCAUGUCUCGGCCCGCGUUCGUGCGAUCGAUGUUCUGAUGUCCCGUCGUUAAUUUGUGCUGAAUUUUCUCGUGUGCUCGCGCGCAUGCAGGUGCAGGAGGUUCCGGGAGCUCGCGGAGCACCCCGCGCUGAUGUCGCGGGCGUCGGCGGCGGCCAUGUCCCUGCGCGUGGGGAGGUGGUCCGAGGCGGCGCACCGGUUCCUGCGGUGGUGCGCCGUGCGCGGCAGCCGGCAACAUACACGCCUGCUACUUCCUCGGCUAACCUCACGGCGACCUGCUCUGUACUGAUGCUAUGCUUCUUGGACCGCGCCGGCCUCUGUUUCUUGACGCCGCCAGCUCUCAUACGAUCACCAGGUGACGUUCUACUGCCUCGGGAACAGGCGAAGGGGCUGCGCUGCUGGCGCGCGCGGCGUCCGGCGGGCACGCGGCGGCGCUGUACGCGCUCGCCGUCCUGCAGUUCAACGGCAGCGGCGGCGGCAACGCCGUGCGCGCGCGCCGCGUGGCUCGGCCACGUCCCGGCGCUCCGCGAGCUCGGACACUGCCUCCAUGACGCCUACGGCGCGCACCGCGACGCCGCAGCUGGGCGCCACCUCCUGCUCCUCUUCGGCGCGCUGCCGUCGCGGCGGCGGCGACGACGCGGCCAGCCGGUUCAUGGUGGAGUGGUGGGCGCUGGCCACCGCCAAGAAGUGCGCGGCAGCGGCGAAAGAAGGCGGCGACGACGCGGAGGAGCUGCGCCUGUGCUCGCAGGCGCGAUGUGGGCGGCGGGAAACGCGGCGGCACGAGUUCCGGCGGUGCUCGGCGUGCGGGUCCGCCAGCUACUGCUCGCGCGCGUGCCCGGCGCUGGACUGGAAGCGCGCGCACCGCGGCCAGUGCGGGGCUGCCGCGGCCCGCUAGCUCGCCGCCGGGCCGGGAACACGGACUGAACGCACGCUGGCCGCCGCUCGAUGACGACGCGUGCGUCGCACAUGUACAUAUUUGUGCAUACAGUUAGGUACGGUAGCAAUAGUCUAGGGAUUAAGUUACUAGAAAGACUUUAUUCCUUGAUCACCACUCUAGAAAUUGCUGAAUAUUUGUUUAUUUUUGUUUGAUUUUGAAUUUAGGAUGAUAAUGAUUAGUGAGUUUGUUUAAUUUGGAUGUUAAUGGUGGUAGCCCAACAUAGGUCUGCUAAUGGGGGGUGUACCGACCCCUACCCGCAGCAACUAAGGUUAAUCACCCGCCCCACCCUCACCCAAAAAAUAAAUUAAUCACCCUGCCCACCCCGUUCCAUCAAAAUAGGUUAAACCGCACAGAAGCCGCAUGCCACAGGAGCCGCUGCAGCUGAUGACAAGUCUAUAUCUAAAUAGAGGAGCCGCAUGCCACAGGAGCUGCAUGCCAUAAAAGCCGCUGCAGCAUGGGUAUGGUAGCAGAUGGUGAUGCCGUGAUGGUAGCUAGGAUGACACAGCACCAGCUUCGGCACGGCCAUCACCUCGCCGUCGUCCUUCCGCGGUUGAAGAGGAGCUCUGCCUCGGCGGUGGCGCAACCACCGGAGACGGCCUUGGCUGGAAGCAGUGCGGGUACCUGUGCUACGCCCGUGGGUACAGCAAGAAGGCAGCUGGCGCCAAUGCUUGCCGGCGAACUAGCUCGAGAGAAUCCUUCUUAGUCCAACGGCUCCUUCGCUCCGGCACCGGAGAUCUCGCUGGUCAACACUCAUGAGACGAUGGCAAUGACUUGAGAAACUAUUGCGGUUUGACGUUGAAUCACGAGCAUUGCAUUGCAAUCAGGUGUCGUUGGGCCAUGGAUUCUCCAAAUUUGGGGAUGGAAGACAGAGAUUGAAGAAACGCACUGAUGCAGCUGUUCCCCGUGACACUUGGGAUUCUUCUUUUGCACGUCCUACUAUUAUUCCUUUACAUUUAAGUUUGUAGAUCAUUUUUUUUUCCAUUUUGCACUCGAGAGCUCCUAAAAUGAUCUUCCGAAUGUUUAUGCACCGACCAGUUCCGUUAAACAAUUGUUUUUAUAAAUAAGUGCAUUUAACAGUAUUUUGAAGGGAAACAAGUGGCAAUCAAAUAACAUAUCAGAAUACAGAUCAUACUCCAUUUCCAACAGGCAGAGCAACACGCCAUGAUCCACUAAACAUCCAGCUAUUUCUCCACUCCCCAAGUCCACAUGUUCUACAAGACUACAAGUUCAGAAGUCACAAAUAGCCAUAUGUACACCCCACACCCACAAUGUUUUAGACUACAUAAAAGGGCACGACAUGCUCAGAUAAGCAAAAGUCACCACCGGUUCGGCAAAACUAAGCUAGCCGAGAUGUUAAAGGUUACGCUACAGGCCUGCCUGAUCGGCAUGCGCUCUUCUGUAUGAGCUUCAUUCAGGGUCACUUUUCCUUGUCCAACCUCUAGCAGCACCAUUGGUUGUAGGACUUCCGCUUGAUCCUCCAGAUGUGCCCUUCAUUUUCGGCAAGCAAAUGAGACUAUUGGAGUUCAAAGUAACAAUCAAACGGCUCAAACGGUACUGACCUGACGAGAUGUGGUGCAGUUUGUAGCACCAGUGCCAGUGGAGGUACUGAAAUAUUUAGAUGUGUUUGGAUAAUCUGCAAUUUUGCAUCAAAAAUUAUGAAUGAGGAUACAUUAGCCAAGUCAACUACAGCAAGCAUAUGAAUUCAGUUUACCAAUAAAAUGCGCAUAUAUGCCAAGAAGCCAAUGAACUCAUUAAUUCAACAAUUUGAACAUGCAGGUCUGUUGUACAAUUUUUACCCCAUUUAUCUUAGCAAUAAAUUGCAGAUAUGCGCUGCAAAGCAUAUUUAAAAGUAGCAAAUCUUGACAUUUUUAAAGUAAGAGGCAAACUGUGAGGGCCAAAGCAGAGUAACCUUUUCUCAAAUAGCUCGUCAGCACAAUUUGCUUAUCCAACUUUUCCUCUAGAACCUUCUUGGUUCCAGUUUCCUGCUCCAAUACCCUAUCACCAGGAUCUGCUUCUUGAUGUCUCUGAGAUGGAUACCAUUAACAUAGAUUAAAAAUUUCUCCACUUAACCUUAGUAAAAAAAGGAUGAAUAAAAAAAGAAUCUCAUCUCAGUAUUAUAUCAUAUAUAAACAGGCAGCAGAUCAAAUUCUAUCAGAAACUUGCAGAGUGGAAAAAGAGUUAAGCACAGCCUUCUCCCAAGAAGUUGUGCAGUGGUGGCGUAAUAAUAUAAGCAGUGGAUCCUUUCGGCAGACAGGCUUGGUGACUUCAUAUCUAAUUCAGAUGUAAUCUAAUUUGGACAAACCCUGCAUCAGUAUAGGUCUCAGAUGCCACACAAAAUAUAUAGUAAAGCAGCAAGAUAAAUGCAUGGUAAAUGGUAAAUGACAGCAGUAAGCACUGUGGACCGACAAACUAGCAGCUGUCAAUAGUUUGCAUUAGCUUAAUUACAGCUCUAGAAUUGCAAAGUUCCAAGCAACUGAUCCUCUACGGGACUGAAAGUUACUGACAAGCUAUUUACCCAUAUUCUAGACAACAUAAAUAUCUCACUAGCUAUGGAAGGAAUGGAGAAAAAAGAAAUAAAGUAUAAAAGAAGUUAAAUCUUACCAUAUGCCUCGAUCAUGAUUUCAUCAAAUCCUACAGCUUGAAUCUGGCAAACUCAGAUUGAAGCCACGAGUCUCCCAAUCUGAAUCACAUUGUGGAAACUGAAAUAUAGUAAACUAGAUCCAACUUUACCUUGGUGCUUCUGUAUGUUUCUAAUACUGAAUUCAUGAACCUGGGAAAAGUCUACAUGUAUUCUCUGUGAUUUAGAUUUUAUCAUUAUUGUAUCUAAAACUACAAAGAUAGAAGAAGGGCAUAUGGAACAGAACUUUGAAAACGAAUUUCAGAAGCAUUUCUUGAUAUGGCUCCCACAAACGGCAUAAUUGGCUCCUAGUCACUUACUAACAAAGUUCAGAGAAUACAAUUUUGGAACUCCUGCAAGAUACCAUUUGAACAUCUACAUUAGUUCCAAGAGUUCGAGAACCAGAACUCCAUGUUUAUUUCUUCCAUUCAUCUAUAUCGUUCAGUCUCCAACCGUACAGAAUCAGAAAGAAACAGAAGUGUGGCGCAAUGGACUAGUUUCUUCCUCUGCAGCCAUCAACACUCUUUCUCAGCGCUUCAUCGAGUGCUCUCACUGCCCUUGUUGUCAGUUUUGCGAGUGCAUGCUGGAGAGUAGUCCGAGUCUGCACUUCCACUAGGGUUUCACAGUGGGAAGUAAUUCAGAAAUGUGACUAAUGAUGUCUUUCAGGACAGGCAGGUGGAUAUAUUUCUAAUGCUGUGUUAGAUUACCUGUAGUUUGGAGAAGUUGGGCUGUAAUCUGGACUGGGUCCUCCAGAGUUGUCAAUUGGGCUGCACAAGUCAGGUAAUGCCUUAGAAAACCCACAAACCUCCAAGCGAGGAACAUACGACUGAAAUGGAGCACACAUGAUGGAAACUAAAUGGGGCUCACCUGGUUGGGCUGUAUGAUGGACUUGGUAGUGAAUACGUUGGUGAAGUCGGUGAGUAUGUCGGUGAAGUUGCGCUAAAAUUGAAAACAGUAAUAUAAGCAAUCCAUACAUACAUAUAUGAACACAGAUCAACAAAGGAAGCAUGGAUAUUAUCAGGUACCUGUAGUCUGGAGAAAUCUGGCUGUCUGGAGUCAUCCUUGGGCUGCUUGGAGAGUAAGUGCUUGGAGAAUACUUGGCAGACGAAGGAUUGUAGCUUGGUGAAGUUGGGCUGUAGUUUGGCGAUGUUGGACUGUAACUUGGUGAGGUCGGGCUGUACCCAGGCGAUGUAGGGCUGUAUGUAGGUGAUGCUGGGCUGUACGAGGGCAAUGAAGGACUGUAUGAUAGAGACGUAGGGCUAUAAAAUGGUGAUGUUGGGCUGUAUGAUGGUGAUGCUGGACUGUGUGAGGGUGAUGAAGGACUGUAUGAUGGAGACGUAGGGCUAUAGAAUGGUGAUGUUGGGCUGUAUGAUGGUGAUGCUGGGCUAUAUGAAGGCGCUGUGGGGCUGUAUGCAGGAGAUGUAGGGCUAUAUGUUGCCGUGGUUGGACUAUAAACUGGUGAAGUGGGACUGUAAUUUGGAGAAGCAGGAUUAUAGCUUGAUGUAGGACUAUAGCUAGGAGAUAAAGGAUCAUAGAUUGGAGAUGUGGGCGAGUAUGAAGGAAUUUGUGAGUAAACCGGGCUCGUUGGGGUGUAAACUGGAGUUGUGGGUGAGUAAAUUGGGCUUACUGGACUAUAUGAUGUUGAAGUAGGAGCAUUAAGUUGUGAUGCAGGAGUGUAUGCUUGAGAAAUAGGAAUAUAAAUUGGUGAUACAGGACUGUACGAUGGAGAAAUGGGGUUGUAACUGUUUCCAGAGCUAGAACUUGGAGAUCGACUGUAUCCCCCUGAGUAUUGAGAGUAACCUUGUGAAGGGACAGGUGAUAACGCCAUAUCCCUGACAUAUGGCGAGAAAGAAGCAUUUGUAUCAAUGGGGGAAGCCCUGAAGUCUGGACUCAUCAGAUAACUUGGCGACAUCAUUCCUUCAUGAUAUGGUGUUCCAGAGAGGGGUGAAGGUGCUGGUGUUAUGCCAAAGUCCAGACCUUCCACAUAGCUUGGGAGUUGAAGUUCAAUAACCUUUUCCAGCAUCUGGUCAUUCAGAAAUAGUGUGCAGCCUCCAGUACCAAUAGGAGCAAGCUGGCCAAGCAUAAUGUUCUCUGUGACACCUCUCAGGUGGUCAGAUUCAGCAUAAACAGCGGCAUCAAGCAAGAUAUCCACAGUCUCUUCAAAAGAACAUCUCAUAAGAGGUCCUGUGUCAUUGCGAUUAAUACCAUGCCUUGUAAUAGCCAUCAGGUGACCUCUGUAUGUCAUUGUAUCGCAAAGAAUUGCCAGAUGCCUAUAGUUUACAUAUGAUCCAUCAAAAGAUAUGACCACCCGAAGUUCAUCCAGGAGGACCCGACGGACAGCCUCAAUUCCAAGAACCUCAAUCACUUCAAUCAAGUGGUUACUUGUUGUUCUUGUAGCAUCAACAUCCCCAUGGCCCAUGACAGCCAAGAGAUUGACACCAUCUGUAUCAAGCAUCCACUCUUCAACUGAUUUGAAACCACCAUUUUCAUCAAAUUUAUUAAUCUUAACGUUCUUUAUGAACACCUCGCUAAUAUUCGGAAUGCCUCCAAGAGCCAUCUCUGUCAGCAUGUUACUCUCUAUCUUCUUGAGGAAGACAUCAUCCUCGGCAGACUCAUCUCGCAUAUCUCCAUUUGAAGCCUCAUCAUUUGUGAUGCGCAGACGAAGGAUAAGCUUAUCUGCGUUAUCAUCACUAAAUAUGCAUGAUAAGUCAUCCUCAAACUCACGAUUGAUCUUCUCAGCGAUAUCAGCCAUGCUCAACUUCUUAUCAACCAUCAUCUCACGAUCAAGCUCAAUACGCAGCAGCCAAGGAGAAAUCUUAUCCAGGUCAAUAUCCUCAUCAGGCAUUUCAUAAUACGAUCGGACAAAUUCCACAUCCUCUUCAAUGAUUGUCUCCGUAGGAUCAGGAUCAUACCAAACCUCAGUAGCAUGGGUCACACUGCGCAAUGUGGUGUACUCCAAAGCACAUUGGACAUCCUUAGCCAAUUCUUUAUUCUUGUUCACCUCAGGCUUUAGGUAAACAGACAAUGAUGGAGUUUUUAUCUUCUUGGCAACAUUAAUGAUCUCUCUCAGCCUGGGAACUCCAAGAGUAACAUUCUUGGCACUGACACCAGCAUAAUGGAAGGUAUUCAGGGUCAUUUGAGUCGCUGGUUCCCCAAUGGACUGAGCGGCCACACAUCCUAUCAUUUCACCUGGGGCCACCAAAGACUGUGAAAACCUGGACACAAUCUCAUCAACAAUCCAUUCAAAUGCUUCCCUUGUAAGCCUGUAUUCACUCAAGACCCUCUUACUAGCAAAUGUGGCGCGAAGAUGGAUAUUGAAGAACAAAGUUGCAUUCUUCUGUGCCUCAAUACUCAGAGCAUCAUCACCAUGCACAACUUUAAGUCUUUCUUGCAGCUUAUCUAUUGCUUCCACAAUUUCCAUCGGGUGCAUGUCCGAACAUGUUCUGGUGUCAAUCUUGAAUGUCUUCUGGGCAUUCCAGAUAAGCCGCUUGAGGUUGACAGGCAUAGGCCACGUAUUAGCACCGUUUGUAGCAAUCUCAGUCCCAAGCUGGAACCGGUCAGCUUCUAGCUUCUGAACCUCUGCCUCUAACACACUUCUGAAUUCAAUGAUGGUCUUCAAAUCAUCAACAUGGACAGGCAGCAGGUAGUCAGGCCUCCAGUUCUCAUCAUCCAGCUUAUAGCGGAAUAGAUUAUCAAACUCAUCCUUUUUCAACUGCAAAGAGUCCAACUUCUGUUCUUCAAUCCAAACAGCAUCCAUGCCAUCUUCCCCAUAUAGGAACUGAAUGACAUCUCCCAAGGAAUUUCUAACGGUACCAUCAUAUUUUACCAUGAUGUCCUCCAUAGCUUUCACAAGCCUGCGUUGGAUAUACCCAGUCUCAGAAGUCUUCACAGCCGUAUCAAUCAGACCUUCUCUACCACCUAUAGCGUGAAAGAAAAAUUCUUGCGGUGUUAGACCCCGAAGGUAAGAGUUCUCCACAAAUCCACGACUUUCAGGACCAUAGUCAUCUUUCGUGAAAUGUGGCAAUGUUCGGCCACUGAAACCAAAUGGGAUCCGCUUUCCUUCAACAUUCUGCUGUCCAACACAAGCAGCCAUUUGCGAAAUGUUAAUGAAACUGCCUUUUGAGCCUGCAGUGACCAUAGCCUUCAAAUUGUUGCUCUCAGACAAGCUAUUCUGAGCACUGCUUCCGGCAUCAUCACGAGCCUUAUUGAGAACCUGGAAUGGAAAGAGAAUGGUUUGAAGUCAAACAACUCAACUGAGAGGUAGAUAAUGCUCUUGGUUAAUUGGAAGACCUAUAAAAUAAAAGCAAUCUAUAAUCAAGGAGGCAAACAACUACCUUAUUUACUUGAUUUUCAAAAGAUUCCAUCAUUGUGCGUCCUGGCUCAGCUUCCAACUGCUUGUCAUGUGGUUUUUUAAUAAGAUCCUUCACAGCAUUCUUAGCAUCAGAAAUUGUCUUAUUAAUCUUCUCCAUGGUGGCUGCAUCUGCAAUCGCAUCCCCUAUUCCAAUACUGAAACCAAUUUGAAGAAGCCAGUAGUUGACAAGCCACUGUGUAUGACCUAAGAACCUGCGUGCAGCAUCUGGACCAACCUCUUCCCUGCAAAGAAAUUAAAAUGGAAAUUGCAUAGUAGAAACAAAGGAGGAAAAUUACUAAACCAUGCAACUUAUGAAUCAAAUAUUUAAUUGAAGCAUAAUUACCAAAUAACAUGAAUAAGACUUCCAGCGCCUGUUCCCAGAGUCUUUUUGCAAAGUGUACCAGAUAGAAGCUCUCCCUUCUCUAUCCUGACCACAGUAUCACCAGGAGUAAUAAAUCUUGUUUCAUUUUCAGAAUGCCAGGAAGAAAACCGUAUUAAAUUUAUUUUCUUGGGGAUAAUGAGGUUGAAAACUUGUUUUCCAGUCCAAAUAGGUCUUGGUUUCAGAAUGGCAGGAGCAGGAAUCUUUCCAUCAAAAUCUUCCCACCACAUCAAGAUAUUCAUGAAUACAUCCUGGAAUGAAUUCUUCACAACAUUAAACUAUAAAACUUAACAGGAAAUACUACGGGAGAGGUAAGUAGAGUUUAUCAUUAUUAACCUUAUCAAUGAGAGUGUCCCUUUUGGUGAUUUUGCGACAACCAAGCAGCGUGUCCUGGACAAUACCCAUCACAGGCCUAUUUGAUUGUGGAGACACGAUACAUUUUGGCACCAUCAUCAACUCUAGAACUUCGGCUCUGGUCUCAAACGACUGGGGAACAUGCAUAUUCAUUUCAUCACCGUCAAAAUCAGCAUUGUAUGGUGAAGUAACAGACAAAUUCAACCGAAAAGUUGAGUAGGGCAUAAUUUUGAUACGAUGCCCCAUAAUAGACAUUUUGUGUAGACUUGGUUGCCGAUUGAAAAGAACAAAAUCUCCAUCAUUGAGGUGCCUCUCCACCUGGGUGAUCAGGCACAAAAUGGUAAAGAAAACAUGCAAAAAAACAGCAUCAGUGCUAGUGUGCUACAAUUACAAUGAAGUCAGUACUCACCUUGUAACCAAGCUCCAAAUGCAGAUCGCUGCUUUUCUUCACGUAACGUAGAUCAAGCCUCUGACCAUCUUCCCUGAUAAUGUACUUUGCACCUGUCUUCCCUGGGGGAGGGUGAGGCCCAUAUUCUACAAGUUCUUUUAACCUGAGAUCAUUGGAUUUGGAUGCAAGUAAUCAGCAAAUACAGUAGUUACUUAUGGUGCCUCCUCAAUAACAGUGAACUGGUUUACCUCUCAAUGUUAUAUGGAGUGACAGUUUCUGGAUAUGUCAGGUUCAAAGCAAUACUCCAUGGCACACCUAAUUCAUCAAUGUUAAUAUUUGGAUCUGGUGUGAUAACAGUGCGGGCUGAGAAAUCAACUCGCUUCCCCAUCAAAUUUCCUCUAACCCGGCCUUCUUUUGCUUUCAACCUGCUGCAAAUUGAUUUAAUAGGCCUUCCAGAACGCUGCGUGGCCUGAUCAUUUGGAGGGAAAAAAUAGAAAAUGAUAACUUAGCAAAACCAAAGUAAUAUGACAUGUGAAAUUGCAACAGGCAACAGCUUAGCAUUUGAUUAUAAGUAAUAACAUGCAGAAUAAUUUUUUUAUUACUCACCCUGGGUUGGCCAGGAAGGUCAUUAUCAAAGUAUGUAGAAAUGUGAAAUUGCAACAACUGAGCAAACUCUGUUAUAAUGUGAGCUGGAGCUCCAUUUCUCUCUUGCCUCCUGAAGUUCUCAUUGUGCCGAAUUAUCAUAGCUAAUUGAUGAGUCAAAUCAUCCUGUAAGAAGCAGCUGAAAGGUCAGAAGAAUAAUAGUGAGCAACAAAUGAGCAUUUGCAAUCCAUCAAUGCACUAUAACACUGGACACAAAAUAAUUAGUGGUAUUAAGCUCACCUCACUUCUGGAAGAAGUGCCCAUCAUGACAGAUGGUCUAACAGGCGGCGGAGGAAUUGGAAGAACCUGGAGUAUCAUCCAAUCUGGACGGACAAAUUUGGGAUUCAGACCCAACAGAAGACAGUCCUCAUCACUUAUGCGCUUGAGAACGUCAAGGACCUGGUCCAACAAGGCAUGUAAGAAAAAACACAUGAUUAUAGUAAAUUCCUUAUGACAGCUUGUUGAAUGGACUGGUUAUAGAUACCCUCUCAGCAGAGAGAAUCUGCUUCCGUUCCACUGGCUCAGGGAGUUGCUCUUUAUCAUCAUUUUUCUUCUUUGAUGCCUUGAACUCCACAACCAUCUUUAUACCGUCGACUGUAAUAUUUGGCUGCUGAGCACCACAACCGCCACUUUUCUUUACAGGCUCAUGAGUAUCCUGUUGCUCCUGAAUACACGGGUCAUCACCCCCGCCACAGAACUUUUUGGUCUUGCAAGCAUCAUAUAUUCUCCUCAAUCUAUUCUUUGGGUUCCUGAUUUUGAGAGCCUGCUUGAACUUGUUAUUAUCCUGCAACACGAGCAUUACUGUCAAAUAACAUGUAAAAAAACAUGAUGAGAAUGCAGAGUGGCUAAACAUGUGACAACAGAUAAAUAAGAACUCUGUGAAAAGCUCCAGAGUUAGCUCAUGGUCAGAUUUAAUUAUUCUGAUUGUUUUAUGCAAAACACCAGAUAUUGUGUGGCUAGGGUGGGUAAAUAUCACGAAUGCAAUAAGAAUGGUCUGCUUCUAAGAUUUGCAUGAGUCUUACAUUAGAUCUGUGUUCUUAAGGGGGCCAUAAAUUACAGCUAAAACAAUGUCAGUCUGUGUUCAGCUUGAUACUGUCUUUACAAGUUUUUUUCAUUAGACAUGACUACUGUGGAUAAGAACAAACCUCAAUAGAGCUUGAUGAGGUACUAAUAAAAAGAUAAUUUGAUUCACUAAUGUCAUGUCAGGAUACAGAAGGCAAUUAUGAGUUCAGUGUGAUUCAAAUUAAAAACAAAACUGAUUUCUGUAUAGUCAGGUAACACGCGCACACAACAUCCUGUGUAGUAAGUAGUAACCAAACCAAGGGGUACCUCAUCAGCAAGGAUCUUGGAGCAGUUGAAGCAAACACAGCGCAUAAUGGAAAGAACAGUUUUGAUGAAACCGAUGUGGAACAUCGGCUUGGCCAGCUCAAGGUGACCAAAGUGACCUGGGCACUCUGCCAUCCCAGCCAUGCAUGUCUCGCACUUGAUUUUCCGGUCGAUAGUCCCCAUCCGAGGGUCACUAAGCCCACCGGUCUUCGGCUUCCCCUUCUCCAUAGUCUCUGCAUAUUGUAUUUGCACCACCGACAUUUGCCUCUGCAAAUACACAUAUAUAAAUUCACCAUUAAAUUGUACCCUCUGAAUUUUGUUGUACAUGCAUUGCAAAUGUUUCAACAUUUCUUCUAUUGAAGCAGUACAACGUAGCCUAAUAAGGCAAACUAUUAAAUCUAUCAUCAAUGGCAUGUAAACAUUAUGUAACACAAAUAUUGCGUUCAGCUGUACCAGAGCAGUUAUAACAAACAUAACCAUUGUUCUAUACUUUCCAGUUCAGACUUCCAGUUGCAAUUAAACUUUAAUGAAAAUCAUUAUAGACAAUCGAGUUCAUCAUUAUACCCAUAUAUGGAUAUGCACAAACAGGGGAGGCACAAAACCAAAGUUUAACCUCCCAUGUUAAGUCACAACAGUACAAUUUCUACUGAAUUUUAUGCAGAGUGCAAGGCUAUUGAAUUUUAUGCGGAGUACAAGGGCUGACUUCAAACUCCAGCAUCCACGCUACAAGUGCAGAUCAGUUCAAACCAAACCGUAAAGCUCCACAGUUACAGCAACAGUACAACACAUUUUCUUCAAUUUGCUUAAAUUUAAGGGUACCCGAGUUCGUUUGGUUGCACACGUUCUAGGUUCCCAAAAUUUACCAUAGCACCAACUCAACCAACCAAGCACAGAGUGCAAUUACUAUUCAAUUUUAUACAGAGUACAAGUGCUAACUUCAAACUCCAUCCACACUACAAGUCAAAAUCAGUUCAAACCAUACCAUAAACCUCCACAGUUACAUCAAUUUGUUCAAAUUUUAGGGUACGGGAGUUCCUUGAGUUGCACACGUUCUAGGUUCCCCAAAUUUACCAGAGCACCAACUCAACAACCCAAGCACCCGUCAAGCUGAAUCCACUCAAACCCCCUCACAGAUUACAUCCGUAGUGUCCAAUUAGCCUCCUCCCAUCAAAUCCAAGCUCGUCGCACCAACUCGCCAAGCAACCCCUGAGCUCCCAAGUCCUAAUCCCCCCAAACCACCCAGCCCGCUCGAAUUCGAACAGCAAAUUCAAGCAGCGCGGGAGGGGGCAUUAC
rnacentral:lncRNA from 1 species